rnacentral:lncRNA from 1 species
CAGUGAUAAGAAGAGGAAAAAGCAGGUGGCGACUGGAGCGGAUAGCUUUGGCGUUUGCUGGCAUCUGAUGCAGUGACUUUUAAUCGGAAAUAAGGGUUCCGAACAGGAAAUAAUAGAUAGCUCUCUCUUUCACGGACUGCAGCGAUGUCAUCCUUCUGUCUCGACACCCUGGCUGGUCUUCCACCGGCAGCUGGAAAGGGAUUUCAUUCUGCUAUUGCUUCAGUCGUCGUCCCGAGUGGUAGGGGAAGAUUACAAGUGGUUCGUAUGGCUCGUACUCCCGACGAAAUACGAUUCAAUAACCCCAAUCCCUAUGAUAGGCCUCUCGUAUGUCUCCCCUAUCCCUUUCUUCUUCUUCUCUCUUCUGACUGUUUCUCUAAUUAUAACUCUGUUCCACUUUGUAAGUGUUUACUUGUGUGGAAUUCGAAAUUGUGAAUGAUAUUCCUGUACUAAGUAGUUGGUAGCUUUUGAAUCCGACUAUUUUGAGUCUUAACGUAGUCAUGAACGAUGUUCUGGAAGGCUUCAUUGGAGCUUCAAUCGUUUCAGCAUGCAUUCGUGUAAAACAUUUCCUUCCUGAUUCUAACAAUUUUGGUGGUAGCUAUCUUAUUGGAUGGGCAGCUAGGAUCCCUGUGAAGCUUUAGAGAAUUGGAUGUUCCGUUUUCUUUUUACCAUCUUUUGAAUGGCCAUUAUAAAAUCACUUUUGCUAUCAUCAUGACAGGAAGAGCAAAUGCAGAGAUGCUUGUGAGUGAUAAGUCGUUCUUGCUUUUAAAACGACACAUAGUCGUUGGUAGAGGGAUCGAUGACUACUCUCUUUGAUACUACUGGAUAGGUGCUUGAGUUGAAUGGACUUAUAUUCGAGGUUCAGCUUUAUGUUGCUGUGAACAACUUCAAAUUCUGCAACUGACUUAAAUAGUCUGGUACAGGAUUUCCAUGAUGGAUUUGUUCUGUUUCAUACCAUUUGUCUUUGUAUUAGCUUAUAGUUAACAUGGAGUGUAUAGAUUCCUUCUCCUGGUUAUGAUACGAAAAGAAGAUGAAAAAGAUAUAAUGUGGUUGUCUCCUUGAGAUGAUGUUGUUUUUUCUAUACGUAUGCUGGGGCAUCUGCUGGAAGACUGUUACAGUGUUGGAACUUUGAAAAUGCAGGAAUGGAAAAAGCCUAGGCCUGCGAAGAGACCGGACAUAUUUCACCAAUUCAGGCCUGCGAGCACACCAAUGCCGUCGCCACUGCCAUUUGAUCCCCCUCUCGAAUAUUUCGACUUAGAAGAAGAAGAACAGGACGGGCGUUAUGGAAAAUCAAAGUGAGCCAGAUUGUGGUUUGGGGUAGAAAGAACAAUUCAAGUAAUUUGACUUUCUGAGCAUGGAUUUCAAGUAAUUUGAAGGGAAGAACAUUCAGAUGGUCUCCAGUUGUGCAGCUGGUGUGGUGUUUCAUGUAGUCUUAAACAAUUAUUGGUUACAAAUACUUGUAUGUUGCGUAAUUAAGGCUGAAAUGGAUGUAUACUCGAUUUUACAGCAGGAAUUGCAACUACAACAGCAGUUAAAUCGACAAUGUAAAAUUGCAGGGGAAACCGGGGCAAGGGCAAGUAAACCUUUUUGUUGAUUCAUUAAAUAGUACACAUAAAGAUCAUUCAAAUCUGAUUAUUCUCUGACCGUUUAAAAUUUAUAAAUUCAUAUCCGAUUCAAAUACGUUAGAUCGGAUCAAAUAUUAGACAAAUCAAUUUCUUUUAUCUUCAAUCUGAACUUGAUCACAAACUGAGGACGAAAAAUAAACACAAUUCAAACUCGACCACAAAUCGACGACUAACAUAAUUGAGAUGGCAUUGGAUCAUUAUACAAGUGAAGAAGACAAAUCUUGUUAUGGUUUCGAAAUUGAGAGUUGUAUAUUAGCUUGAUUAUCUUACUAACUAAAUACAACAUUGAAAUUCCGUCCAUGUCUCCAACGACGGCCUACAGCCAAUUCCACUUGGGACCAUCCAUGGAACACAAGAUGAAAGAAACUAAUAGUCUAAGUUGAUUCAACGGAUUCGGGAGAAAUACAGGCCAAGGAGGCGGAGGAAUCAGGAGCAAUAGAAGAAGAAGAAGAAGAAAUAUUAUUAUUAGCAGGCAUGGAAUAUGAUCUCUUCAUCAUCUUCUUACUCAAAGCAGAGGAAGAAGCUCCAUGGAAUCUGCACCUGAACGAUCCCUUAUGCGUCGUUGGCGAGCACAGGCACUGACCACCACCUCCAGCGGCAGUGCCGCUUCCAUCGCCGCCGCCGCCGCCUUUAGGGGAGGCUGUGGAAACUGUCAGGCUGCCGGCGUUGGAACCCAUUUUUCCUUAUUUGAUUUAUGUUGAGUUGGCUGUGAACCUUUGGGAAUGUUUGAGAGAGUUAUUUAUAUGCAGGGGUCCAAGAGUUCAAGACAAUUGUUUUUUUUCUAAAAUAUAAAUAAAUGUAAGUAAUAAUGUGUAAUAUCGUGAAAGCUGAUGACUAGCACUGAAAGAGGAGUUAGAGGUUAUUAAAAUAAGUGUAUUUUAUAUAUAUUAAUUUAAUUUAUGAGGUCAUUAUUAUAUAUAUAGAUUUUCCAUGUAUGUAUGGACAACCUUUUGCUACACUCUCCACCCCUUUUUCCCUCUCGUAUUCUCGAUAGUCAGAAAAUCAAUUAAAGGUAUUCUUAAAUUAUAUGGUUACAAAUUAAUCUCAUAAUUAAAAAAUAAUCGUAAACAUAAUUAAAAACCAAUAUAUAAAUACUUGGGAGUCGGUCAAAAACACUUAAAAAUUUAAAAGAUAUUAUUUAUAAAAAAAUAAAAAAAAGUCCCUACACGACGCUCUUCCGAUCUAGAUAUUAUCUAUAACAAAUUACAACAAAGUAUAAUAUGAGUUAAAUAAAAUUUAUACAAAAUAACCAGUGGGAGACGGUAUGAGGUUGAUUAUAGACUCAAACUAUAUUUAUAUAUAAUUAGAUUUUUGCGACAGGCAAGGAAGUUCGGCCGAACCCCACCCGUUAGAACCUUCGCUCAAUGAAAUCAUACUUUUGAAGUCCCUCUUUUCAUUUUAGCAAUUGAUGAUAUAAAAGUCUUUAGCUUUGUUUGAUAGUGAGAAAUUUCGAAAUUUAGAUAGAAACAUAAAAAUCUACUCUUAAAAAGAACAUAAUUUUUUUUAUCCAACNNNNNNNNNNNNNNNNNNNNNNNNNUUAUCCAACCGAUUUUUUUUUUUUCACGAAUCUCAUUCAAAAUUCCAUCCGUCGAACUAGGGCAGUAAUUCUGUAAUGAGACAUCUAGCAUAUGUGUCACAAGUUGAAUUUUCAAAGUGGGAAUGCCUAGAUUGGACAUAGAUAGCAUAUAGGAUUCGUUAUUAGAAAUGGGUGCCCCUGUGAUGGCUACAGAGUGAAAAGGAUGGGAAAAACAACGUUAUUAAUUAUUAUUUUCGCCGGAGUAGAUCGAGAUUAUUAAUCAAUGUAAGAUAGAAGAUAAAAAGUAAACACAACAUCGAUAUACAUUUCGUAAAAUAUGCUAGAUUCGAACACAAACCCUCAAAAUCACCGAACACAUCUCUACCAUCAAAACAACCCCAACGACGUUAGUAAUUUAACCCGUAUAUGUUUGAAAAAACAGAGCAACAUCGUAACAUGAUGAGAAGCAAAAACAAAGAGGGAAUGCAGAGCACAUGAAAUGAAGGAAGAAAGAUGGAAGGUGGGUGUGCAGUAGCUAGCUACUUGAUUCACAUGAAGAUCAGAUGAGAUAAUGUUCGGAUGUUGUACACGUAUUUUAUUCUCUCAACAACACUAAUUAUUGAUGCUUUUUUUUAUAAUCUAAUUACUAAAAAACAAACACCGGACCUUAACAUGAACAUUUAUGCCGUAUUUUGGCUCCAUUGAUAACUCCACUCAUCUUCAACUUCAUCCUCAGUGUUGAUCUACAACGUUUUCAAAUAAUAUUUGGAUUUAAGAUCUGAUUUGUACGUACGAUAUUUUCAAAAUUGUAGGCCAUACUUUAUUCACAAAAAUUGCUAGUAAAGAUAGUUUGGAUAGAUUCGAAAUUUUAGGGUAAAAACAAUAGCGAAACUAAGAUGUUUUGGGAUCUUGAGCAAAAUUUUAUGUUUAAAAAAUUUAAUUCAUAUUAAAACUUAAUAUGAAUUUUGAUUUAAAUUUUUUUUCAAUUUCGGAUUGAGCAUAAUUAAUGCUUAAAGUGAUAAUCAUUCCCGCCGGAAAAAUAUAUAUAAAUAAUUAUAAUAAUUAAGGCAAAAUUUGUUAAUGAAUACCAUCUAAUCAAUUUGAACUCUUUCUUAACAAAUUGAUUUAUUGGGAUGUAACGGUUCAUAAUAUGGUAUCAGAGUCUUAAAAUAUCAGAAGGUUUUCGUUUUGAAUCUCAAAAGCCGCCACCAUUCCGUGCACAUGACUUAUCCUCGUGAAUCUGUGCGAAGCUCAACUCUCUCGAGAGCUUACGCUUGAAGAAGACGUGUUAGUGAAUACUAUAUAUAAAACCAAUUUGAAACUUUUUCCUAAUCGCUCAAAUGAUUGAAAUGCAACGAAUAAUAAAAACGUAAAUACAUCGAACCCAUCCUCAGUUCUAUCCGGAUUACUCAAAGCCAUGCAUAAAUCCAAAGAGAAUGUUUUGUCAGGGUGUUGAUAAUAUAUAGUGGAGGUGGCUACUGGGGUGGGUAUAUAUCUGAUGGCAUAGGCAAUUCGUGUGAACAGAAGAGCUUCAAACGUUGGCGUCCGACAUUACAAAUUAGCUCACAAUCCACAGGAAUGAUAGUGGCAUCCAUUCCUCAAAUCACUUCUUCUCCAUGCAAUAUUCUUAUGCCAAUUUCUGUCUCUCCAUGCUCUAUAUUCUAUGUCUCCUUUUCUUUUACUAGCUAACAAUCACCGACUACUGUAACAUCCCAAUUUUACAAUACGUAUUAAAAUAAACAGUAAAGUUAUUUCGGGACGGACACUUGAUACAUUAUAAAAAAUAGUAAAAUACUAAAUACAACGAUACUGGUAACAUUUUCAGAAAAAUUGGAAUAUUACGCCAAUUAUUUUCGGAAGUCGGUGUCAAACAGUGAAUGGACUCAUCUUUAAAAAAAAUCCCAGAAAUACACAGUCUCCCCAACAUCCCAACUUCGGUCUGGCGGUAGAUGAGCAUAUCAUCUAUUAAUUCUUUUAAUACAAUAUAACCUGUCAAGAGCUGGUGGGUGGCUCGGGGUCAGUCUUCUAAAGUUACCAUAUAGAUACCAAUAUUGAAAAUCAUUGAAAAAGACAACCGUAUAGCAUGUAAAACACGUUUUACAAUUCUGACUCUAACUUCCGUAUUUUAAUUGGGAUCUUGGCUCACAUAUGCUGACAACCGAUAUACAUGUUAGUGGCACCAAAUGGGGCCGCAUAUAGUGGCGCCUACCAAGGCCCACGACGAUAGUUAGUUGUGGCGCUUACCCAGGCCCACCGCGUAACUGAAGUGCAAUAAGCACAAUCGCCAGCAUACGGCCCUAACCAGGUGAUCAAUCAAUACAAAUAUUACCUUUGUAACAGAACUCGUUCAACCGAACAAUUACAUGUAACAUAUCAUAUCAGAAAUAUAUCACUUAGAAUAUAAUAGAACAUUAUGUGAAUCACAUAUAAUUGACAUGUCAUGUUGUCACAUAUAAUGCUUUAAAACAUUUAAAAUCCAAAUAUUAUUUAUGUAAUUCAAAGAAGUAUAAAUAGCACAAGUAAAACAUAAACAUUUAAAAUGGAAGAUAUUACCCUCUUAAACCAACCCAUCUGGAAUUAAGCGGGUUGACUCGAAAUAUGAUCAAAUGUCCAAGAACGGAUCAAUAAUGGUUCAACUCAAAACUGUUGGGUCAAACUGCAAUAGCUGGAAAAUAUUGGGCCACUGAUAGAACAAUUCAGAAGUUACAGACUGCAUAUAGAGAAUCAAAGAGUUUAGGGGCUAAUUCUAAAAUACAGAACUUCAGGGAUCAAACUGGACAUUUAUCAAUUGCACGUGAAUCCAAUCUCCCGUUGUUUCCCAGAAUCCGGCGAUGACAAACGCGUUCCGAUGAGCCUUGAAUCACCACAAAAACUCGAGCAAACUUGAAUCGAAUGUCACGUAAGGCUUUGUCUCGAUAAUACGAAGUCAACCGAGGUAUUUAAAGGUCCUGAGUUGGUUUGGGACUUGUCGACGCAAGUCGACGUUGGAGAAGAAGAAGAAGGGAAUUAAUAAAUGAUGGUUUUCUGUCUCCACCCUCAUUCGAUACUGGUUCGGAUAGAUUUAAAUAGUUACUCGCUCGAUGGUUUGAUUCAGAAUUCGUGGCUCUAGUCUAAAGGGAUUGAAUUAUGGCGCCGCCGAGUUAUAGGACACAUAGAGAUCGGGACAAUUAUUUCAGAUAGGUGAUAGAUAUGAUUUUUGUCUGGUAUUGGAAGUCGCCGGAUAAAACAAGAGUAGCCGGAAGAACAAAUAAGGGAGACGAUGAAGAUGACCAGAUUCACUUUCAAUCAAAACAACGUCGUUUAAGGACUAAACGAAAAUGAAACCAGAAUAAAAUGGAAUCACAUCCUUGUGACUCGAACUCAGGUCUUCAAAAUAGAGAACAAGGACACAAACCAACUUAGCUACUAAUUUAGUAAUUAAUCAAAUCCCCAUCUCACUUUUUAGUAAUAUAUCAUUCUGAUUGAUUUUAAUUUAUUCAUGUUAAGCAUUUAGUUAACCACUUCACAAAUACAACUAAUACAAAAUUCUCACCAGAUAAAUUUAAAGACUUUUAUAUUAAUAUUUUCGUACGAGAAUCGGAUAUUACACCGACUAAUAAUGCUUAUGCUUUGGAAUAAAGUGUUUGAAUAAUGGCUGAAAUCUCUUUGUUUUCACGUUUGUGAUCUACUGUUCCAAGGUUGGUAGUUUUCUUUACGUCCCACUUUCCAGAUGUUGCUAUGAUCAUAAUUACACUGUUAUUGAGUUUCAUAUGUCUCGUCAUCUGAAGAAGACAACUGAAAGUGAAAUUAACAAUUCCACUUCUCUGUUUACCCUGAAAAACCAUUCAACUUCUUGUCGAUUACUAUAAUAAUUUACUAAGAUGCCAUCCAAGUCCGCCGUCGAUGAGCCCUACACCGCCCUCCCCGCCGGCUACUCUCAAAACGUCAUCCUUCUCCCAUACUACCGUCCUCCUCCACCCAACCCUAUCCUACUCUUCCUACGCCGUUGUCUCGCCUUCACCGUCCUCGCAAUCCUCCUAUCCUCAGCCGUCUUCUUCCUCUACCCUUCCGAUCCGCAAAUCAAAGUCGUCCGCGUGGGACUCAACAAAAUCCAAGUCCAGUACUCUCCUAGUCUCACUCUCGACGUAUCCUUAUCACUCGCCGUCAGGGUUCGGAACCCGGACUUCUACUCCCUCGACUACGAUUACCUUUCGGUUUCGAUCGGGUACAGAGGGAGGCAGAUUGGCUUGGUAAGGUCGGAAGGUGGGAGCGUUAGCGCCAGAGGAUCGUCUUACGUCAACGCCACGCUUGAUUUUGACGGCCUCGAGUUCUUUCAGGACGCGUUUUACUUGAUCGGGGAUUUAGCUAAGGGCGUUAUCCAGUUCGAUACGACGACCACGGUUAACGGCGAUUUAGGGCUCUUGUUCUUCGAGAUUCCUAUUGAGGUAACCACGCCAUUAGUUUUCCAUGGCUGUCAGUUUGUGUAGGAUGUGUGUUGAUCUUGAUUGGCAGUUCUAAGUAGCAGCUAAGUUGAACGUUAUUAGAGUUUAGUCAGAUGCUUUUGGUCUGCCCAAGAAUUAGUGUAGGAUGGAAGAAAUCACUCCCUGCAAAUCUGCAAUGUCUUCACUACAGUUCAAAAUUUACGUGGAAUCGGUAUGGGAUUAGGUUCCAUCUUCGUAAGAGUUGCUUAUAUAGUUGUUGCUCUAAGUCGAUUGCGCAGAGUUUCAGUAGCAAUGAAGAACAUAUCUGGGAUCCAUAUAUAUGCUUACUAUGUGAUUGACAGCUUAUACUAGUUUUUGCUGCUGGGGAUUUCUUUCAUUAAGGGCCUGAAACUGUUUUCACAGGGUAAAGUAUCAUGUGAAGUUUACGUGAGCACAAACAACCAGACAGUCGUUCGUCAGAAUUGCUACCCUCUGGUAAGGAAACCUGUUUUCUGUAUAAUACGCUGAAGCACUGCAUUGGGUUGGUUUAUAUCCAGGAAUCCAACUCAAGAUGGGAAUAAAUGUUCUUUCUUUGUUACUCGCGUCACAUCCUUCUUGUUCUAUGACUGUAAAUUGGUUAUGGGAUUAAGAUACUGGCUGAGUGAUUAAAAAACCAUGGAUCACUUAGUUAGCAUUCUCCGUAUUUCAUCUGUUUCGGAGGUUUAGUGUUGAUGGUAGCGAAGCAGUCUACAUUAGUCUGUUGCGAAUAGUUCCAAGAACACUGUGCUUCUCCAUUAGUUUGGGUUUACUAAUCCAUUCUUAUUAUAUAUUGUUGGCAGUGACUGUAGGAGCUUGGCAUCUGAUUCCGAAUAUCAAAGUGCGGGCGAUCAGAGAUCCUUUUGGUCACCUCAACUUGGGUAGAAAAGAGAAGCAUGUUGUUAUGAGCAGCAUUGUGGUCUAAUGUACAUUACUUACUCAAAGCUUAUUCUUUCUGUAAAUACACUGUAAAUUACUGCUGUAUUUUUCAUUCUACACCUUGAAUCACUUGUCAUGUAGCCUCUCUCUGUUACCUAUAAAAAUUGGUUGCUUUAUGAGCUAUUUUGCUCAGACUCACUAUUGGUCUGACGGCGAAAUCCAUUUUUGGGGAUGAAGGUAAAACUUAGAUUCUUGAUUCUUGAAUCUUCCCCAUGAACUCAAGUUAAAAAAAAAAAUUACCGCCCAGCUAGCUCGGUCACCUCACCACUGAAUUCCGUCGUUGGACCAUUGUCUCCGGCAAUCAAACCAUCUUCGACUUGUCAACAGUUUCUCCGAGUUUUCCGAUGUCAGAGACAUCGUAGUAGGUAUUUUAGAUUCAAGCUUACGUUCGUAUUUGGCUAGUAAUUACAGAACUGAGGAAUAUAAGGACAGUAUAGCAUAUAUAUAAAGGAUUCAACAAAAAAGACCUCCAAUUUGAUUUCCUCAACAGUCUAGACGUAAGUGGAGAAGAGGUCAUCUACACCUAAUUCAUGCUACAGUAGAAUUUGAUCUGGCACCCCGCCAUUCAUAUUGAGCUCUAUGGUAUCUACACCUGAAUGAUCCCGGAUGCCUCGUCGGCGAACACACGCACGUCCUGAUCACUCUCCCUGCUUCCCCUGCAUCAUCAAUCCCCUGCACAACCACCCACCGGAGGUGACAAUGGAUCAUCAUCAUGGAAGGAAGAACAAGUAUUUUCUGACACAUUUUCUUUUUUCUUUAAUUCUCUUCUUCCUACUCUUUCUCUUAUGGAGUUCUGCUAAUUCUGAAUGACAGCAGCAGAGCUUUUAAACGUAAGAAAGGAAGAGGGAAUCUUCGUUUGUACAAAGAGGCAAAGAAAAGAAGGGGCUUUUCUUCAAAGAGAAGAGAAAGGAACUUAAAAAGGAGAGUGGUUUCUGAUCCUUCACAGAAAGGUUUGUGCUUUCUUUUGAUUCUUUUGCUAUUUUUAUUCUUUUGUUUGAUAAACGUGACUAAACAGCAAGAAAUUAGUGCUCUAGUUGGGGAGUGUGGGACAGUAAGUCCAAAAGAAUGGAUGCUGGCUGCUGGCACUUUCUAGUCAGCUCAGCGUCAGCUUUCCUCUGGUUUUUCUUGGCAGUAGUUCCAAAAUAUGCAAAAAGAGAUUUCAGUGAACAUAAGAAAGGAACAUGCAUGCAUGAUUAAUAGAGUUGUGGAGGGAAGUAGGGGUGGAACCACUUUCGGUUCGAGCAUUAAAAUCUCGUAUAUAUUUGUGGUUUUUUCAAAUCUGGUUAAGUGCUUUGCCAUGUCUGAACUAGAGGGAUUCACGGAGAGUCCUUGAUCGGAAAAUAUGUUAUAACCUUUGCCGACAUCCCAUCAGUAAAUAUAAUCGAAGCAAUCUCGUCCACUGAACUGGUGGCUUAGAAGUCUCCAGAUAACAAGACUAUAGCUAGGCGAGCAGGUUGGGAUCAAAGAAUGAUACUUAACAAUGAACUCUUUGCAAUAGAUAAUACAGACCAAUGUUCCCCUAUCUACAGCUUACACGACCAAUAACAAAUCAAUUAAAUUUAAUAGCCAUCCAGGAAGAAUUGUAGAUAUCACACAGUCAGAUCUUCGUUAUCAAAAACCUCAUAACUGAGACAACAACCGCAAUCCUGCUUCAAGGUCCUCCAACGUGAUUGUCCGAAGUUCGUCAGCAUCAACGCAGUCAAAUUCCAGUCUGAGAUCCAGAUUCUCUCUAGCAUUCACCAGCAUGGUAUCCACUAGCCCUCCAUUCAUCUCCCUCCGCUGCUUCUCCGUGCUCUCUCUCCCUAUCAACCUCUCCAUGGCAUCGACGUUGCAAGUACGAUGUAACUGGAAUCCAUACAGCAUGCCUUGUUCUUCUUGGCUAGCCAUCUUUAUAUUGACAAUGUUGGCCAAGUCCUGUGAAGAGAAGUCGUCGAAUGUGAAGAACUUGGUUACCCUCCUGCAGAAUCCUUCAUUCGAAGCGAUUACACGUUUCAUCGGUUCACUGUAACCAGCAAAUAUGACAACAAUCUUCCCGCUGUCCAUGACUGACAUUAUCUCUUCCAAGGCUUCUACCCCGUAAUCCUUGUCGUCAGCUUUCUGCAUUGGUAUAAGACGGUAUGCCUCGUCCACGAAAAGAAUUCCUCCCUCGGCUUCUUUGAUCUGCACACACAAGUAAUACAGGUUGGAUCUUCAGGCUAUAAGUUUUACGAAAGGCAAGCUACAAGUGCACUGGAGAAAUUGUGGUUUUAAGAAAGGUAGUGAAAUCGUGGAUUCCAUGUGGAAUCGUCCGGUUCCACCAAUUUAAAACUCUUUUACGUCCGAUUCGACUUGAUUCCGAUUUUUUGUGGAAUCAAGAUUGCUAGGCCUAAGUAAGAUCGUAAAUCGUGAUUUUAACUACUAUGGUUUUAAACAUAUUACCUUCUUCCUAGUUUUUGGUCCGGUAUGGCCAACGAAUUCGCCAACCAAAUCCGUACGUUGUACUUCAGUAACUCGAUCUGUAGGCAGGAUGCCAACCAGAUGGAGCAAUCUUCCAAGUAUUCGUGCUACCAUGGUCUUACCUGUAACACAUUCGAGACCAAGACAGUACCUUUAAGAUUGCUAGAUGUUGAUGAAGCUAUAUCCAACUCUUUCGAGCCAGGGAAAACAUUUUUACCUGUUCCAGGAUUUCCAAGAAAAGCCAUAUGAGGAGGCCUUCUAACACCUAGUUUCAGACCAAGUGCCCUGCGCCUUUCGUCCAAAAGCAUCCCCUUGGCCCAUUUUCUUAGUUGAACCUUGAGAUCAUGCAACCCUACUAUGUUUGACAAUGCUUUCUCAAGUUCUUCCAUCUUAAAUUUCGAUUCACUGCAUGCUUCGACUGCUUUCCUCCUUUUCUGCUCUUCGACGUAAUGGUUCAAUAGAUCCCCGCAGCUUCUCGCUGCCUGGCCCGUGCGAGAGAUGGUUCAGAGGAGCCAUGCCCUCCUGCAAAAAUCACACAAAGCAAAUCAGUCAUCAAGAGAAAAAACCAAAACUCCAGAACAUAAUAGGUUAUAAUAAUAAUGAAAAAAUUACAUUGUCCUUUGCACUGCAAUCAGCAUUGUACUCUAGCAAUGUCUUGACAGUCAAGCAAUCAUCUGAUCUUAUAGAGUACCAAACAGCUAGGUGCAAUGGAGUCAUACCAUUCUGUGAAACAAAAGAAAACAAGUUAAUUAGAUUACCCAUGAUUUAACACAAACCCUGAUAAUCAGACUGAGAACUAUAGGAGUCAGUCUACAUUUGCUCUGGCCUCAAUGAAAGCGCCAUGAGAAAGGAGUAACUGUGCAGCUUCUUUGCAGCCGUUCUUUGCUGCCAUGUGCAGUGGAGUUUCCCCAUACUGCCAGAGGAUAGAACAGCAGCAGCAAUGUUAAGAACGAGAAGAGUGUGAAAUUCGAAGUCAACAAGAAUGGUAAGGUAUUUAGGUCGAACCAUGUUUUUAGCUUCCAAUUCAACCUUCUCAUCACCUUUCCAACACAGCAGAAAUUUCACGAUUUCCCCCUUGUUGUUUCCAGCUGAAACAUGUAGAGGAGUCUGCGACAUCUGAAAGUAGAAGAAUUUUACAAGUAAAUGUGAAAGGGGAUCUAUAAUUUAUUACCAAGCAAAUCUACGAAUUCCAUGGUAAUUUUAUUAUUAUGAAUCCUACGCGGAAUGCGAAAUUGGCAAGAAAAUUAGAGUGGUAAAAGAAGAAAUGAAAAUCUUACAACAGGGUUUCUGUCAUUGAGAAGAGAAGGGUUGCCACGUAGCAGCUUCUGGACGGCGGGAAGGUCGCCGGACUGGACGAAGGCGUGAAUAGUGGCGGGCUUAGAAGAGCUAGUCCGUUGACCCUGGGAAGGCCUCUGCAUUGCUGACUGUUUGGACGAUGGUGUGUAAUCUGGGCUUACGUUCCGGUCUUCGGCCGGUGGCGGCCGCUUCUUCUCUCCCGCCGUUGAGAGAGAAGGAACGGAACGGAAUUUAGGAUGUAAAUUGAAGGCGAAGAAGAAAGGACAUGGAAAAAAAUGGCUGCUUUUUUCGUUUUAUUUCUCCCGCGGGUCGCUUGUUGGUAUUUUCAGUAAUUUUUAUUUUGCUUACAUUUUUGUUCAAACUUGCAACUAUAUGAACAACUAUACUAUUUAUGUACCACUGUGUAAAUUAUAAUUGGAUUUCAAUGGCUAUUUGUAUAUCAUAUUUCAAUGGCUAUUGUUUUUACAUUUUUUAACGAUAUUAUUUAACAUGUUAAUUUAUCCGAUCGAAAUAUCGUAACAUAUGAGAUGCGAAUUUUUUAGCCUCAUUGUGAUAGAAUGCAAUGGCAAUGUCGACACCGUAACUCUUGUAAAUUUGUAAUAUAAUAUGAGGUUGUGUAUUCCAUCAUGCUCUAGAGAAUAUUUAUAUCGAAUCCUAUCAAUAUCCAUGAUAGGGAAGUUUGAAGCCAGAGAGCCAGAUGCAGUAACAGUAAUUAUAACAAAAUGAUAAGUGUAUUCAUUAUCAACUAUAAUUUGUGUGUAUUAGGUGGUGGUGGUGAUGAUGAUAAAUUAAUAAGAAAGGCAGCCAGGCAACAGCUCAUUUCCAAUAAUAUGUCUAUAAUCCAAAAGCAUCAACUUAUGUUCCAAAUCAAUCAUGCAACAUCAGUGUUCAUUUUUUCUAACAGAUCACACGUCAAGUCCUUAAUCAGCUAGGAUUCUUCAUUGUGGCGCGAAUUUAGGCUGAUGGGCUAAGAUCCUCCAAGUUGGGCUUACACAAGGCCCAGGUGAAGUUGGGCCACACCGACUACUUCUUUUUCCUCCAUGGAUUUGGGCUUCUCCUCUUCUUCGAACUUCAGUUCCAUGUGCUCUGUUAUUAAGCUCCACGACCUACGGGGAUAGACUUGAGAUAGCCGAAUCAAAUAAUUCAAGCUUCCGCUAAUCUCGCCAUCACUUUGGCACUUCGGGAACGGAACAUGUUUCUGUUCAUUCUCUUGUUUUCCUUUUAUUUGUUGAAUCAAAUAAUUCCAAUGGUCCACAUAUACAAAUAACCCCCGACCAGUGGAGAGUGUGGUCGGUGAGGUUGAAGCUAUAUUACACGAUCGUGUCCCCGGAUUAUGAGGUUAAUUAGUGAUGAAAGCAAAUUAGGUUUCAACCAGUACCUAUUAUUAACAACUUUUAAGGAAAAUUGUAGUUUAGGUAUUCAAUAUUAUUUCUUUACCCACCUCCGAUCGAGUCGUCGGGGCCCUUCCGACGACAUUUUAGCGCUCGAUCACUUUGUGUCUUGGUGAGUUUUGGGUCGUUUGAAUUUCCAGCGAGUCUAUUGAAUAAUAAUUUUUUCUUUAUAACUAGUUAUUCGUGUAACGGGUGAUUUUCUACCAUAAUUAGUUAUCUUUUUCACAUAAAUAAUAUUUAUUACUAUUACUAGUUAUUGACUUUUAAUUAAUUUUUAAAUUCGUUGGAAAAUAUUUCAGAAAUUUAUCGAAGAUUCAUCAAAAAAUAAAUCAGAAAUUUAUCGAAAACUCUAUGAAAAGACGUAGUCGUCAAUUAUCACUUGACAAAACCUUAAAAAAAUAGUAAGUGAAAGACCUAACUUCUUCUUUAAUAUGUAGACACUUUAAUUUGAAAGAGAUCAAACUCGAUGCACAUAUAAUGUUUUCAACGAGUAUUUGGCAGGUGGAUAUAGAAGGUAAUACGAAAGUUUCGAAUUAUCGGUAUUUUUAUAGUAUAUUUUGUAUUUAAAAUUAUGGGUUUUGGGGUUUUAGGUUUGUAUUUAGGUUUAAGAAUAGAUUUCAGGAUUAGAGUUUAAUAUUCAGGAUUUAGGAUCUAUUAAUUUUGAUUUAUUCUCAAAAGUUAGAAUUUGAAUUUAUGAUACAAUGUUUGAGGGUUAGGGUUUAGUGCUUAGGGUGUUGGCAUCAUUCUUUUGUGUUUAGGGUUUACUAUAAGAACUUUAGGAUUUAUCUUUUGAAUUUUAAACCUUCAAAAUGUAAGACUUUUAACGUAGAUGGUACCGAUACCUCCAAGGUAUCAAAACGUUUGGUUCUUUCCAGACUAUUUUAAUAGAAAAUAAUACACACGGCGUGUGAUGGGGGUGGGGUGAUCAUCACGGAAAUAUAUGAGCAUACUUGACGACAUGUUCUUAAUUACAAAUGCAAAUUAUCCGGUGCGGUAUUAAUGAAAUUGCCCAAAUGACAUGGAAUUAAGUUAGAUGUAGGCGAAUCAACCUUCCUACGUGCUAUUUAUAGGUAGGAGAAAACAAGCCGCUAAAUUGCGUAACAAGGUGUUGAUGAAUGCGAGCACCAAACGGAACCAAUCCAUUCAGAAUUCGAAGUGGACGCCAUGGAUGGGAUGAUAAUAAUUACACGAAUUUCAUUAUUUUCUUGUCAGCUUUAGUAACGUAACAAUUGUGUACAUUAAUUUCUAGUUUUGGAUGCCAUGUCAGCAACUUCGCCAAUUCAACUUGAUAACAAUUAAAAAUUUGACAUAGUUUUGAAUAAUUUUUUCCGACGAAUAUUUUAAAUAAUUUGAAAUAAAUAAAAACAUCAAUAGGUAUUUUGAAAAUAAACCCCAAGCUGGGGAGAGGAUUAUUAAUCGCCACGGGGCGUUGAUUAACAAGAUUCAAUUAAGCCAGCCAGAUAGCCACCGGAAACCUCUUUCAAAGUCCACACCGUAUUCCAGUCAUGAUUCCUCCAUAAAGUCUCGUUCUUUAAAAACUAUUGGUUGAUCCAAAAUUGAAUUAAAAUGUGGGGAGGACUUAGCUCCGCUUCCGGCCAACGGAGAGCCACCAUCACGGCGGGGGACCAGUACACGUAGGCCCCUCUCCUCUCUUUCUCUGUCAGCGACAGUACAACACAGCACCAGCAGUCGCAGCUUUCCAUAAUUCCAUCCAUCAUCAUCGCUUUUUCGAUUUCUCUCUUCCCUCCCUCCCUCCACCCACUCAUCUAUCUCUGAAUAAUAAUAUAUUUCAUUUUUCAACUUCACGGCCAGCAAGACCUUUCCUUCUAAGCAACUGCGAGACAGCCGGAGCAAGCAAUGUCAACUCCGGCGCCAACCUCCCCGCCUUCCACCAACACCACUUCCCCUCCUCCGGCUACUCCCUCCGCCCCUCCUCCGGCUACUCCUUCCGCCCCUCCUCCGGCCACACCUUCCGCCCCGCCUCCAUCUCCUCCUGCAUCCUCGCCGCCUUCCGUCACCCCUUCUCCUCCAGCUACAUCCCCGCCUCCAACGCCGUCAACAACUCCUUCUCCUCCUUCUCCCGACAUACCGCCGCCAUCUACUCCUUCUCCUCCUUCAACCACCUCGCCGCCGUCUACUCCCACCCUUCCUACUCCGUCAGCGCCUGACACUCGUACCCCUCCAUCUACGCGGUCGCCGCCUUCUUCCCCCACCGGUGGCGGCUCUCCGCCGAAUUCUUCCUCUCCUCCUUCUUCCGGGGGGAUAUCGACCGGAUUAGUGGUUGGGAUUGCAAUCGGGGGAGUCUUGCUCCUGUUGGUGCUCAUCGGGCUGUGUAUUUGCCGUAAGAGAAGGAGAAGAGGCGAUCAUGAAGCUGCUUACUACCCUCCUCCUCCUCCACCUCCUUCCGGCCCUAAAGGUUCACACUUCCUUUCGUUCUUUUAGAGAUUGCAACUUUGAAAGUAGCUUAUUAGAUUUCGUUUGCAUGAAUCAUUAUGGAAUUCCUUGGAUUCCACCAUUGCUUUGUCCAUGCUACUUAGAUCUGCUUUUUUUCCAGCUGAAAAAUGGUCAACAGAUUCUGAAUUAAGGUUCUGAUUUCAUUUUUUGUUGCAGUUGACCCUUACGGCGGCCAACAUUGGCAGCAGAGUGCUCCACCGCCGCCAGAUCAUGUUGUGGGAGCAAUACCAAAGCCGCCGUCUCAUUCGCCGCCGCCACCUCCACCGCACGGUUACAUGAGCAGCAGUGGGGCGUCUAACUACUCCGGUUCGGAAACGCCGCUGCCACCACCUUCCCCUGGGAUGGCUUUGGGUUUCUCCAAGAGCACAUUUACCUACGAGGAGCUAGCAAGGGCGACUGAUGGCUUCUCAGAAGCAAACUUACUGGGACAAGGUGGGUUUGGGUAUGUUCAUAGAGGAGUCCUUCCAAAUGGUAAGGAGGUGGCUAUCAAGCAGCUUAAAGCAGGGAGUGGGCAAGGGGAGAGGGAGUUCCAAGCCGAGGUGGAGAUCAUCAGCCGCGUUCAUCACAAGCAUCUUGUUUCCUUGGUUGGAUACUGCAUCACUGGCUCUGAGAGAUUGCUUGUUUACGAGUUCGUCCCAAACAACACCUUGGAGUUCCAUCUGCAUGGUAUGUUCUUCUUCAUUUGGGUACAUGGCUCAAUGUAUUUACAUGUGUAUGAUGAGGAAUGCUUAGGCUCUCUCAAAUUGCAGCGAAAGGGCGACCUACUAUGGAAUGGCCGGCUAGGUUGAGAAUUGCAUUGGGUUCUGCUAAAGGGCUUGCAUAUCUCCAUGAAGAUUGUGAGUGAUGAGUUUUUCGCUUGCUGACUUGGAAAAGCUGUUUGUUUCAGCUUUGUUGCAUUGAUAAUUGAUGUUAUUGGAACCUUGUUUUUGGUUGUGUUCAGGCCAUCCUAAAAUCAUUCAUCGUGACAUCAAGUCAGCCAAUAUACUUUUGGAUUUCAAGUUUGAGGCCAUGGUACUGAAUGCACCUCUUAAGUUUUAUAGCAUACUUGAUACGUUUAUCAUCUUAACAGAGAAUUGUUCGCUUUCUUGAUGAACAUCACCAAUCCUCAGGUUGCUGAUUUUGGUUUAGCAAAGUUUUCAUCUGAUACCAACACCCAUGUCUCCACUAGGGUGAUGGGAACUUUUGGGUAAGGCCAACUGAUAUAUUGCCUUGUGGACAGCCAAGUUGGAAAGGGAUGAUCGUUUCUAAGUGUAUUUUCCUUUGGCUGAUGUAGAUAUAUGGCUCCGGAGUAUGCUUCUAGUGGAAAACUGACCGAGAAGUCCGAUGUUUUCUCCUUUGGGGUAAUGCUUCUAGAGCUAAUCACAGGACGGCGCCCUGUUGACUCAACGCACACUUACAUGGAUGACAGUCUCGUGGACUGGGUAAGUUAGUGGCACACCAUCAUAACUCUGGUCUAUUGGUACUGAAAAGCUAAAGUAGUACAUUGUGUUCUGAUGUAGGCGCGACCUUUACUUUCACGGGCUCAAGAGGAUGGAAACUACGAUGUUUUGGUCGAUCCAAAGCUUCAAGACAACUACGACCACAACGAGAUGACUCGCAUGGUUGCUUGUGCUGCUGCCUGCAUUCGCCAUUCUGCAAGGCGUAGGCCUCGUAUGAGUCAGGUUUGAUCAGAUUGUUUUUCGUUCUCAUUUCAGUUAGAGCAAUUACAAAGUUUUAAACUUUUAGCUUAAACCUUGGGGGGAAAUUCGCAGGUAGUCAGAGCUCUGGAAGGAGAUGUAUCACUAGCAGACCUGAACGAAGGAAUGAAACCAGGGGACAGCAGAGGGUAUGGUUCGUAUGGAAGCUCGGACUAUGACACGAGCCAGUACAACGAGGACAUGAGGAAGUUCAGGAAGAUGGCACUUGGGAGCCAAGAGCAUGGUGGGGUAAGCAGCGAGCACAGUGCUGCACCGACAACAAGCGAGUAUGGUCUGAAUCCGUCUGGUUCGAGCAGUGAAGGGAAGAUGACGACGAGGGAGAUGGAAAUGGAAAUGGGGAAGAUGAAGAGAAACAACCCAGGUGGUUUCAGUGGCAGCUCCUCUUGAGACUUGGCAUAUGAUAUCUCUCUCUGUAAUGAUAGCUCCUCCCUACUGAUUAUUAUUGAUUGGAAUUUUGUUAAUGACUUGGAUCACUGGAUUUCACCAGAAUUGACAGGUUGUUGUUAUUAUCAAUCUUGAUUGAUUGUUUGUCUAAUGUAGCGAGUUAAUAUGUAGAGGCAAAGACAAUUAUUUGACAAACUCUAGCUUUUUUCGAUUCUUUGAUUCGUUUGUGGGAUUUAUGUAAAUGUAUAGUACAUGCAAUAUAUAUUUUGCGCAUUUGACUUUUGUGUACCAGGACUUGUUCCAAUCAUAAGUAGAGGUUGAAAAUGACUUUGGAUUAGGUUGGGAGAACCAGAAUAAUUAGUUGAAGAACAGCGAACCGGAGGUGCAGAAUGAAGAAUCGGAGGUGACUGCUGUCAAGAAUCAUGAAUGGUGGCCGCUUUGUACUAAAUUUUUACUACUAAUGUUGUUUACAUGUCAUUGUUUUUCUUUCCACAUCAACUCCGACAAGGAGCGACAAAAACACAACUAGCUUGCAUGGUCGAUCAUUUCUUGGAGCAUUUUCAUGGUCGAGAUGUUGACUUCAUCUCCAUCUUCCCACCCAUUCCUCAACCUGACUCAUCCGCUCUACUUCUACCUUCAUCGGCGUCGAUUGUUGCCAAUUCUACCCUCAGCCGAAUAAUAUUUAAGCUGAAGGGUGUCUUCCAAAUUACGUGCGUUACUUCAAACACGGACCAGGUGAAGCAAAAUAGAAGACAAAAUAUAUGGUGUGAUUCAAACGGCGUACAAGUCAGUCAUCACAUUACAGAUAAUAUAUCAUCUAAGACACCAAUGAGAUUAAUCGCGAAAGGUUCGGUAAUUAUUUUAGUUCACACUUCACAGUAGCAGCAGAAAUGACAAUUAACAACUCCUGUAAUUACACGUUCAUACAGAAUGAUGAUCUUUCAAAACUACCGCCGCUGCAGCUGAUUUCCAAGAUGACAACUUUCCAGGCGAUGAUGCUCUUUGCAGAAGACCGAGAAUCCACACUCCAACACCGUUUAUCCAACCGCCAUUACUGAUAACCUUACUUACACAGCACCAAGAUGGAUGACCUUUCUGUUAAAAAACCGACCAUAACAUGAUUCAUAUUACUAAGCAGCCAUGUGUACCCAUAUGCAAUUCAAAAUUGUACAAACCGUUGAAGAUUGAACUAUUUUUGAACAACAAGGAGGCCUCAUAGGAAAUCCGAUUUCGGUUGUCAACAUAAGAAAAUUCAGUCAUAUGCUUGUCUUUAUAAGAAAAUCACUGGCCAUGCUUCAAAAAACCUCAUCGUUAAUAUUAAAAUGAAAUUGAAAGGGUCAUCAGAUAGGAGCGAAAGACUAAAAUAAGAUUCAUUAAUCACAGAUCAUCAUCUGAACUAUGCAUUUAAAAUCAUCACUUGACCCCCUCCAAUCUAACUUUGAUUGAACAAAAAAAAGAAUAAUGUUAAUUAGCCUCAGAAGGAAGGCAGUAGUGGUUCGUAUGUAAUCAAUCUGAUAAGUCAUACAUAAACAUCUCACCAUUCUCAUCACAGGCUAACAGAAAACAUACUUCUCAAUCUUGAAACGGAAAUAAGAAGAGACUACUGGAAAUUUAGAAUCAGAAAUCGAGAGGCAGGCCUCAUUGAGAAGAUCAGACCAAUCAACAUCAACAGUUUCUGACAUAUGCUUGUCAAAAUUCGAUAUUUAAAUCAUCGGCCAUCAACAACAAAAAACCCAGAAGUUAAAUCAACACACAAGCACAGUAAAGUUGAUGUUUUUGGUGGGCGAAAGGGAGGAGGACUCAGAAUAUGGGUGGUGAUAUAUCAGGAUGGUCGGCAAGGCCUUUCAGCCAAUUACGACGAACGAGACCUUUCAAGAUAAUGAUCGUCACUGUCCUUCCUUCCUUUCAAACAUAAUCAACAGAGAGGAGAAAAUAAAAAAUGAAUGUGCAAAUUAACUUGGAGACGACGAAUGAUGAAUACAUCCAGCUGCUACUGCCUGCUUAUAUAAGAUUGAGAUAGCUGGGAAGAGCUAGGGUUUUCAGAAGAUGAGACUUGAGCUUCCCCCCAACUUGGGCUUCAAUAUCAUCGGCCCAUUAGAAUGCGUUAAGAGCCCGUUCUCCGACGACUUGGUGAAAGAUUAGUUGAGUAUACAUGUUGAUCUUGAGAGGUCAUGCAUGGAUGAUAUAAUCACCAAUCAAAGGCUUCAGAGUAUAUAAAUGUAAGAAAGGAGGAACUCUUCUUGUGAAGUUAGAAAUUUCAUUCUCCAACUUCUCUACAACAGAUUCCAUCAGCCGCUUUAAAGUCGCAUGAUUCAAUUCUCUGUUCUUUUGUUCUUGGGUUCUAAUGUCACUUGAAGCUGGAAAGAAGAACAAAAUAAUGUCAUCAUCUUUUUUAUCUACACGAAAAUGAUUCAAUAGAGUGUUAGCCUGCCAGCGACAGAUACUACCAACCAAAGUGUACAUAUUCGGUGGUUGAUUUCAAAACCCUAAACCGCACAAAAACAGAAAACAAAACCUAUCUUUCAUCUCACCCGCCUAUUUCAUCAAACCUUGUUGCUAUAUCUUCCAAACCAAAAUCCCUAAACGCAAACUCUACAUUCUGGACAACAGACAAUGUUACAUCCCUCCCUGCCGCCCACCGAUAAUAAGUAAGCAUUAAGCUGUUGAUGAAUCCUCGUGAACAUCCAUUUCCAGCGGUUUCAUCUGGAAAUAUUGCGAAAAAUCAAGAAAAUCAGAAUCGGCCUGUCUGGCUGUCUUAUUUUAAGUAUCAACUUCUGUUGCUCAAUCUGUUUCUAUCCACUGUGACGCGCGAAUCCAAUGUUGACAAUAUCUGGGGCAUCGACAUCCCUCCAGAGACCACAAUCUCUGUGUCAUUAAAAGAGAAAACAUGUGAGAUGUCGGUCUAAGCUGCAGAUAAGAAUGAUUUGAUCAACACCUCAGCUGUUGUUUAGGAUGAUGAAUGAGGAAGAAACAGAAAAAUCUUGAAUUGAAAUACUGUCCAGUAACAUCAUAAUAUUCAAGGGAAUCCUCACCUAUUCCUUCCCUGACUGAGAGGUUAGGUCUGAUCACAUCAUUUGCACUGACCAGGAAUAUAUCACCAAUGUAUAGGUGAUUUGUCGGAACAUAAACGCAACAGAGCUCUUCGUCUCCAGCAUAGUUCUGCACUCAGAAGCAAGAAAAUGUUCAACUCUGGACCAUAGCAACUUCUAACAGGCUCACAAGUCCCAAUAAUUGAUCAUUUCGUCUAUAAUCAUUGUAAACUAGUAAUCAACACAGCCACAAAACCAAUUAUUCAAACAUGCAGAUGCAGGUUUCAGAAACAAAAAUGAAUAACUCCAAAUUUCAUGAAUUCAACAAGUUGUUCAUACAACCCUCUUAUAUUUCACUGCUUCUGCCUCAGCUUUUACAAGCUCCCAUGCCAAUCACUUUCUGGAACUAAUACAGUUACAAUUUUGAAGAAACUAAUAACCUUCUUUAGCCAAAAUAUAGUUCUCAAAGCCUAGAAAGACAGUUCAUACCGAAACUCACUAAACAGAUUAUGGCCGGGUUAAAAACAUCUCGUCCUGUCAAAGGUAGUCUCUGACUCCACUAGCUGGAGUACCAAGUAGAGACAAGAAGACCACAGGUGAAAGAAAGAUGCAAGACUUUGCUCGCGUAGUUUUACCUGGAGGGUAACUGAGGAUGUUAUGAAACCAAAUGCAUAUUCGCCAAUACGUGGAUGUCGUAUGAUGGCUACUUCCUUAAAAGCUUGUGUGUUCUGAUCUGAAAAACAAAGAAUACAAAACUUUAAUAUACAUCAGAAAUCAGACGGAUAAUUCCACUAAGAUCACUCAACGCCACUAAGGAUCACUCAUGAGUCCAACCUGGUGAUAUGGCAGCACCAAUUUGCUUUGAAGCAUUAUAGAUAUGGCGGACAAAAGGCAUCCUUUUGAUAAACCAUUCUCCAAGGCUCAGGACUGAUGCCCCUAACCAUGAUGACAUGAAUACUCCAACAACGAAAAUGAACGUAAUUGAAGUAACAAAUCCGAGACCUAGCACAGAUGUAAAGCAAAUAAAAUUAUAACCCAGUCGCAUAGGAUAGACAAUCUUACUCUAAAUGCCACAUAUUGCAUGAUCACAUCGAUAGUCAUAGACCAAUGCAUUCAAGAAUUUAAUAUGCCAGUUGUUGCCCCAAUUCCAUAUAAAGACAAAUUACACUUACAUUCAAGUGAUACCCGGCCAUUAUCAGAGGCUUCACAGAGAAACAAACAUACUUAAGAGAACAAAUAAUUUAUCCAUUAUGGAGCGCAAGCAGAACAGACUGACUACAGUUGAAGCAGUGAGGUGUCAACAACUGUAGCUCAGAUCCCUGUGGCUGUGAACCAUUUUAACUUAGAAAAGCAGUAGCUAGGACUAGAAAGAUCUGGACUUCACAAACCAAAUGGAUAUAUGUAAAUAGCAAACAGUUCAAUAAUCCAGCUCCAAUGUGUUGCCCGUCAUCAUAAGAAGCCAAAUGGCAAGUGUUGUUAAGCAUUUGACCAGUAUUUAUUCAAACAAAACUUUAGUCGUCAAGGCAGUGAAGGAAACUUCACAAAGGCCAAGCUCUAGGGCAACGGAUGAAAGAAUGUAUAUAGAAAAAGCUUACCAAAGAUAUUGAUUCCAAGUUGAGCAUAGAUUGGAGAGAAAAAUCCAUCCACAAAGUGAAUAAACCACCAUGUUAUGUAGAAAGUAAUAGCAAUUGGGAAGAGGAUUACACUGCACAGUUGCCAAGAAAUGACCAAUGAGGCUUACAUUAUAUUGAAGUAUCUAAUCGCAAAUCAUCAAAGAGAGAAAGAUUACUGAAAAAGUGCAAAACACCUAACAACAAAUAGCUUCUAUGAAUUAUAAACCAGAGAUUUCACUGCAAGGGCAACAUAAUGCUCCAGCUUCAAUAAAAGAAAGGUUCAUGGAGAAACACGGACUUGAGACUUCCUGUUACCAUAAAGAAAGGACAGUCUUGGGUAGACAACAUAUAAACACAAGGCCUAGACGCCAAUCAUAAAAAUACUCUGCUCUUAUUGAAGCUGAUUACAUUCAAUGGUUCGUAUGAAUCUAGGGGUAGUAUACAGGACAUAAGGAUCAAAUUCAUGCUUUGACAAUAAGGUCAUUAACUGGAGAUGGACAUUCCAGAGGAUUACGAUACAAAAGAACAUACAUGUUGCCAAUGUUAUUUUGUCAAACGGCACUAAGUACCCCAUAUGUGAAGAAUUCACAGAAAGGAGUCAAAGCUAUAUAGUGUGCUUAAACGAGCCACUGUCCAGAUGUUCUUUAAAUCCCAGGUUGAUAUCCAGAAUUCAUACAGGUAGCUUAUGGAAGCACAUUGCAGUGUUCAUCAUAAAUAAAGGGGAGCAGCAAGAGGGAAAAAGAAACUCAUACCAUCCUGUCAUGAACUUUUUUGAAGCCCAGCUCCGAAGAACUUUGGAAAAUGUCUAUACGAAAAACAUACACAAAUAGGAAACAUCAGGCAACAGAAAAAGGACACUUGCCAAAAAAAUCGCAUUGAUCAGAAACCAAAUGUAACUCGCAACGAAACCAGCAGGAUGGAACUCUAGCAGCAAGACCACCAUGUUGAUAUCCAUAUAAGUUAUUCUAUGCUAAAAUAUGAUUCUCAAAGGCUAGAAAGACACUUUGCACUGAAUCCGCCAAGCUAAACAACCAUUAGUCAGGUUAGUUUUACUUAAGAACUCCUUCCAAAAGUAUUAUAGGACUCUGUUGGUCUCUAAUAGAAUAUUGAUAUAGGAAUGGCAUUCGCCGGAGGCUGGGAUUGAUCAGUCUAAUCAGUCUAUUAAUAUCAUCCAUACAAAAAAAAAUCGCAGCUUCAAGGGGAUUGCUACAUUUACAGCAUGUACUGCGUCAGAUUUUAUCUGCUGAAUUCAUCUAGAGUAAACAGUAGCACGCACACACAAACCACCAUCCGAUUCAAUCAAACCUAAAAUCUGAUCCACGCCAUCCAGUUAACCUCAAAACAGGCUCAAGAGAAACGCUUGAUUACGAUAACUGUUUGAAGCGGUCAAUUCAAUUAAUGCACUCAAAUAUCAAGUGGAAGCGAUUAGGGAAAGCAAACCUGCAUACUCCUAGGGAGUAAACCCAAUUCCUAGAUCUAGUAGGUCAUACUUUCCACCACAUGUAGAACAGAAAACACGUAACAAUCCAACAAGCGAAUCAAACUUCUGAAACUUAACAAAGCCUUCACCACGAAAAACACAGAAUCAGGAAGAAACAAACCAAUUUGUAAUCAGGAAAUCAGAAUCAAAUUGCAAAUAUCCGAAAAGGGAGAGAGAAGACAAAAAAGGGGGGAAAUUGUUGACCUCGCGACCGGGAUGAUGAUGCGAUGAAGAGGAAGAAGGUUUAGGGCUGACAGUGUCACGCCCGCUGGCGUCGGAGACAUGGAUGAGAAGCUCUCGAUCUGGCUCUCUGCUGGGCUCUAUACUGGCCAUUACGAUCGCGGAUUUCUCUUCGCCCAUAACUCCUCCAAACAAAGGAAAGAAGCAAACGACGGCUAGGUAUAUUCCUUACAAAAUCCCCCCGGAGGAAAGAAAGAAAAAUCCCCUCCGGCAAUGAAGAAGAAGAAGAAGAGACGACUCUCCAAGUCUAAGCUCCCGUCGUCCUCGUCCAGCUGUGCAAUGUGCUUUGCUUUCAAUUUGUAAACAAUAAUCCGUCAAGUCGAGGAUGAAAUGAGCUGCCGAGUUUUGCUAAUUUUUUAUAUAAUAAUUAGAAAAUAGAUAAAAUUCAAUGAUUACACUUUUACAGGUUAAAUAAAUCUGGCGAAUAAUAAUAAUAAUAAUAAUUCAGUAAUGAAGAAUUAAAACACUUAUUUGGUUAAGGAGUGGGAUGACUUCGAGGAAAUUUGUUUUCUAGUUUAACGCGUUUUUUCAGUUACAAAAUCAAGCUGUCAAUACUCAAUUGUAUCAACAAGGACCUGCAUCGCUAAUAAUUCGUAAGCAAUUUGAUUCUUUUCUCUUUGUCCAAACCAAACAUAACUUCUCAACAACGUAACAAACAUACAUCAUAUUCUUAGGAGUAUAUUUGUUUCGACUGGACGAAAUAAUUAUAAAAAAGGGUCAAGAAUGUGCACCUAAAGUACUAAUUUAGAUGUGUACUGUAAGUUCUCUUUACAAUGCGCAUAUUUUACUCUUUAGUUCGUUUUUCCUUNNNNNNNNNNNNNNNNNNNNNNNNNNNUUGUUCUGCUCAUCUUAAAUCUUCCUUGAAGUUUUUGUUAUAAUUUGUUAUAACUAUUGAAUUCAUAUCGGUUAAGGGAUCUUCGUUGGAACAUGUGAUUUUAUCGGUCUUGAGUUUAUUAUUUGAUGUACAAACUAUGCACAACUAGUAAUACUCGCUAAAAAAUUCUAAUUAGAUCGUUAUUUCCUAAGGUAUUUCUAAUGGUAUUACUUGAAAAACAUAACUUCAAAUAAUGAUUUGGUAUGGUGGUUUUUUUAUCAAUCUAUCAAUGUAGACACUCAAAAUUAAAAUGUAGAAACUAAAAAUUAAAACCCUAAUGAAUGUAAUGCAAACUAGAAAACAACCAAAUUGUAAUGGUGAGUUCGAUAAGUUUGGUUGGUAGCCAACUCAUGUGAGGCUCGAUUACUAGUUCAAGAAUUGGGUUGAGUGAGAUUUUUUUAUUAAUUAAUCGAUUCAAUUAGUGUAGCUCGCGGGUUGGGUUUAGUGAUUUUAAAGGUUCAAAAAAAAUUUCAUUUUUUCCUCAAAACAAGAAUAUUAUGAUGAUGAGUGAUAUUGACUAAAUGACUAAUUAUUUAACCGAACUAUACAAGUCAAGUUCAUUUUAUAAUAUUGUAAAUUCUUUUAUUCGAGCUCACUUCGAGAUUUAACUCAACUUGUUAAAACUUGCAAAUGAGCCAAGCCGAACCAAUCCCUUAAGCUCACACAAAAUUAGUCGAGUUCAACCCGUACUGGAUUGUCAUGGCACGGAUAAAACUCGAACUUGGAAAACUAAAAAACGAACUUGAACUGAGUAAAGCUCGGUUCGUGAACAGCUCAACAGAUACUAUUUGUAGUCGUUAGCAUUCCCUUAGCUGAAUUCUGUGUACGUAUGAAUUGAAUACUAUACGGUCAUUUACAUAUAGAGAGGACAGAAAAUUGCCAUCAUCCCUCCAAACCUAUCUCUCCCUCUUUUCCUUCAUCUACAUUUACAUAAUAUACGUGAGGAACAACAAGCCAAUAAAAAUAUGCUAACUCCAAACACUGAAAAAACUCAAGUGAAUACCUCCUCAAUCAAGUGAUCAAGAAUCAACUUCUCUAAUUUAGACACAGCUUCUUCAGCUUCUUCAGUACAUAAUCCAUUCCUCCAACCCGAUUCCCACACCCGGCUCACCGUCACUCCUGUGCUCUUCAAGUCUCUUUCCAGUAUAGCGCUCACACUGUUGAGCUUAAGGUAGUUCUUUAGUUCGGCGAUGCCAUUGCAGACUUGUUCCACCACCUCAUCUAUAUUAUCAUCAUCAAGUGAUGCACAAGAUGGAGGAAGCAUACAAUAAUAACGACUUCUUGCUUGCGAGUCUGGAAUAGUGCUACUCGGCCUGCAUUCGAUGAGUUCAUUUGCGUAGUCUAACGACAGUUUCGUACAUAAUGAUGUCUCAGAAUCGUUUAUUCUCGACACUGGUGAUAAGGGGUUUUGAAUUGGGAGAGGGAGAGGGAAGAGCUGCUGCUCUGUGCGGACGAGAAGCCCUCGGCUGCUUAAGAGGAAGGUUUUGAAUUGUAUUCUACCUCUCAAGUUGCUGUCUUCUGCUUUACUGGUUUUCAACUGAAGAUGCUUUCCACAUUCUGGUGUAGGAGAGCUAUAGGUUUCAGUACUAUGUUCUGCAACAGAGAAGAAGAAGUAACUAUGUAAAUGGUUUCCUGUCUUUGUAUGAAGAUGAUAACUACAAAACAAAGCCCUAUACUACAUUACCAUACCGGAACAUCCAAUCAAUGAGUCUAACUAUGUGUGGUUGAACCGUUUAAACCGUUAUAAAUCUGUUAAUGAAUAAUAUAAAAAUUAAUAUGAACCUUCUCCCAAAAACUUGAGUUAUUGGGAUGCAAUAAUUCAAUGAUAUUAUCAGAAUUAUACCGGACCAAUUUGAUGAAUGGUUCAAAGUCCAACCAAUCAGUGUGUACUGGUAUGGUAUUGAAAACCACUGGUUAAAACUAUGUUUUAUCACUCAGGAUGCUAAAUCAUAAUAGUCGCGAGGAUUAUCCAACUUAUUAAGAAAUGGCAUGACUUGUUACAAUAACAUAAGUAUAUGCUGCAGAUUUUUUAUUUGCUUCCAAAGAAAGAAGUCAGUUACCUUCACGUGGAAAUGCAGAUGGAUUUGUUUCUUCUUCUCUAAAUGUCUGCAGUGAACCUGAAGUAAUAGGGAUACUUCCUUCAACAACAGGUUCAAUGAGAUCAACCUCCUUAUGUUCAGGCUUAUCUGCAGACUGUUUCAAAGAUGAAGCAAAGUUAAGUUUCUGAUCUGCCACAAGUUGUUGAAUUGCAGACUAAUAAAGUAAAGGAGGACUCACCUUUGUUAUUUUCUCUUUCACAUCAUCCACCAGCUUCUCUUUCUGUUCCUCAUUCUUUCUCUUCUUCUUGGGUUUGGCAUUACGAGUUCCACUUUGCUGCUCAACUCUUUGACUCCUUGAACCAAUUCUUCCACUUCCAGAAUCCCUCAUUUCUCUAAAGGUUGGUACUUUGGUUUUAUUAUCCUCGACUCUUGCAGAUCCACUUCUAACCUUCACAGUCUCCUUCACUUCUGGUACUUCGUUCACCACCUUCUGAUUCUUGUCCACUUUCCUGUCCACAAUGACCUUAGCAUUACUCUUGAUACUGUCUUUCACCCUUUGAACUACCUCCUUCUGUUCUUUACAAGCUCGAUUUUUGCCGGUAACUGAUUUCCCUCCAGCAUCUUCUCUUGGCAUCCUGUUUUUUCCCUUCACAUGACCUUCUCUCUGCACAACAACUGUUAAAACUUGUUCCUCUUCCUUUCCAAUCCUUCUACUCCUCAAAUUUUUGGCCGUUCUUUCUUGGUAACUCCUUCCAGGAGCAAAGUUUUCAUCUUUUGCUUCCACCUUUCUCAUAAUCACAUCAUUUGAGCGCACAAAUUCAUCCUCACUAGUACUGAAUUCUGAUUCAGGCAUGUAAAAGGGCUUUAUGAGAACAACUGGGGGAACCCCUUCAGGCAAUAACUGCUGAGUAGUGUACUUCUUCACAGAAGUGCUCUUCUUCAGAAGCCCUCUGAAUUCCAUUGUCUCAAGAAGCUCCUUUAGGCUCCUUUGCUGUAUCUCAGCUUCCUUCAUGUUGAAAAGGUAAUCUUCUUUCUUCUGCUUCAGCUUCCUCACAUUCGAGUUUGGUACGCCAAUGUCCAUCCGCUUCGGUGGUGAUUCAGGAGGCAGGAUAUCUUCCAAUCCCAUCAAUCUGGCAAUCACAUUUGAAGACGUAGAAGAACUCUUGUCCUUCUUCUUCUCUACCACCUUUGAUAAUGUUUGAUCACUGGAUUUAGUCAUUGACUCCUCCUGAUCUCUUCUUCUCCUGUAAAGCAAAGAAGCCCUUUCCUCAACUGAAAGCAAGUUCUGCCUAUCAAAGCUGUCAGCAAUUGCCAUCCUCAGCUCAUCAAUGUAAUCCCCUCCUCCAUCAACUGAAAGCCUUGGCCUUUGAAACCCCAUCAUCUGAAAGUUUGGAUCUUGUUCUCUACAUGACGUAGCCCUCCUCAUCACUGAAGGAAACCCAUCAUCAUCAUCAAUAACCCUUCUUUCCCUCUCCCUCAACUGUUUCUGCUGCUUCAACUUAGACAUAUAGUCAGAAGCAUCUUGCAACUUCCCAAGCAUUACCAAUGAGUCUUUCAAAUGAAGAGCUCCCUUGAGCAAAUCCUCAGCCAUACUCUCAUCCUUAGACGACCCAUGUUGUUCAUCAAUCAGUACCUUGUUCAUCAGCUUCUUAGCUCCCUUUGAGACCUCCAUGAGCUGAAAUGAAGAUGGAUUUGGAUGGUGGUGUUCCCCUCCUCCAGCGGAAAUCUUCUUCUUUUUAUGUCUAUGGCUGGACUUUCUGAUUGUCCCGCAUUCAACUACACCUUUGGGAUCUUCACAGGUAACAAAUGGUCUGUACAUUUUUCUAUCUGCCCCAAAACAAAACAAGAAUAAAAAUUGGACACGGUUUGUUUACUAAUGGCUGCAAAUGUCCUCCAAAUAUGAAACAAGAAAGACAAACAGCUCCCAGCCAAAGGAGAAAACAACAAAAAAACAAGUCGAUUUAGUAAUUUUCUAACAGGUGGGUUUACAAAAAACGGAUCAAAGGUGUCGACUUGGGAUUGGGAAGACUGAAUUUAAUAAGAGAAGCGUGUAUGGAGAAUUGCAGGCCAGUGACAAAGAUUGAAACCAAGGAAACAAUCAAUCAGAGGACGAGUUCAAGAAACAAAGAGAAGCCAAAACUGAAAUUCUCACCCCAAGAACAAGAAGUAUGCUGAUGGGGGCGGCUCAGAUCCAAGCGGCAGCCGUUCACAGAAUUGCAGAGAGGGAGAUUAGGGUGUUGAGAUUUUAAGAGAGUUGAGUUAGAGAAGGAGAAAGGCGGAAGAGUGAGUGAGGUAAGCUUGGUAAUCGCUGAAGCUGCUGAUGUCUUUGUCUGUUAUGGCAAUUUCUGGGGGGACUGUUACUGACAUGUGAAUUCACCAAAACCAAAACUACCAGUCUACUUUGGAGGGAGGCGGUUAAUCUUUUUUAUUUUUGGUUUGUAGACACCUCAACGAGACGAAAUCGAGAUAACAUACCCGUCAUAAUAGCAACAUGUCGAAUCAUGUACAUCUGCAAAUACGAGCACGCCAUCAAAACUUUUGUUUUUUCAUUUUAUUCUAGUGAAUUGAGAAGCUUACCCAUGCCGCAUUUGAAUUGAAAUUUGGUAUUAAUGAGUAACCACCUUUUCAUGUGAUUUGCUUUAUAUCAUUUAAAAAUAAAAGAAAUGAAAUGGACAGGAACUUUCUCUUCCAUGCCAAGAUAAUAUGGCAUCAUCACCUCCUGGAAAUGUAUUGAUUGAAUUUGGUGCAGAAUACAGACAAAUGCUAGCUUCUUAAAUAAUUGAAGGCUCCACAAACAAGCAAUGAAUACUACUACUACUACUACUACUACUAUGUUGCGUUUCAUCACAACUUGAUGAGCGGUGAGGAUGAGAAGGGCGCCUCCUGCAUGGGUCAUAUUCAUAGCACAAUGCUGCUGACAACCUUCGAAUCAAUUUUGAAUGAGCUCCUUUUAAUCUAAAGAUUCAGCUUUUAAGUGGGUAAUUUAAGGGGUUUAAAAAAAUAUUUUUUAUUCGUGGAGUAGUAUAGUUCAUUAUAUCGAAUUUGAACCCAACUACACUUUAUAUAUAACACCUAAACUAUAUUUAUUUUUAUUUUUUCUAAAGACAUAUUCUGUCUUGUCUAUUUAAAAAAAAAACUCCUUUUUACCAUGAAACUAUACACAAAAGUAUGCAAACCGGGAAUAUGAUUCAUCGAAGAUGAUAUCUCAAAGUCUCAACUUUUUAUGGAGGGUGCAAAAUGCUAAAAGAUUAUGUUCAUAAAAAGAAAGAUGCUAUGGACAAAAUUUAAAAAGUGGGGUCGAAGAAAUCUACGAAUAGAUAUCCACCCCAAAUCUGUCUUUAAUGCAAUGCAGUCGGUGCUUUUUAGUUUGUAAAAUUAAUAAUUGGUCUCAUAAUUGUGAUCGUCUUACAAAUAAGUUUUAAAACUUCUAAAUAUUACGUAUUAGUUUUUUUUUAAAAAUAAUGUUAUUCAGCAAUAAUCCUGAAAUUUUCAAAUAUGAUCGAUUAAACUGAUAUUAAAAGUCAAAACAAUAGUUUCCGGACCACUGCAUAAUAUUCAAGAGUUUUGCGACAAUUAUAUAAUUUGAACCGAAGUUAUAUGACUUGUGUAGUAUUUAACCUUCAUUUGUCUUAUUUUCUACCUUUUCCUUUUUUACAUUUUUCGACCAUAAAUUAAAAUGAUGGUGGCCAAAUAAGAAGAAACGGAUGUUGUGCCGCAACUCGUAGCUGUUUAGAAACGUUUUACUUUUACUGUGACCAGUCGAUGUUCCUAUUAAAGAGAGGAGAAAGGACUUUUUCAACUAAUGCGCAAGAGCGCACUUCCGUUUUCUCUUUACUAGGUCAAGCAAUACGUGGACUAACUCCCGAUAUAACAGUAAAAGCCAGACGCGUAGGCGGAUCGACUCCCAAGAUGUACGUCGUCCAACCCAACCUGUAGCGACAUUCAAUCAACAAGAUGUGUUUUGAGGUGCAAUGAUAGAGCUUUCGCGAAAAUUUAGAAGUUAAACAUGUUUCACAAGUGUAGUACAAAGAUGGGAGAUAUUUUGAAAGUCACCGUUCUACACCCUGAACACCCUGAACAUGUGGGUAGAUGCUACAUGUUACUUGAACAGAAUUCACACGUACCAUUUGUGGAUCUGUAACACAAUAAAAUCCGAAACAUAUCGCAAUAGAAUAUUGUUCAUGACAACAAAGAAUGCUCAAACUUCAAAAGCUUUUAUUUUACUGGUUCGAAUGCCCGAGGGAUGCAGAAACGAUCCAAGUUUUCAUCACAGAUACGGCCUGGAUGUCACCUGCAUAAGCAAACCUAAAACCCUGUGAAUACCAGGCGAAAGAAAAGAAUACAACACUGGCCAACUGCCACUCUGCCCAAAGUAGUCAAAAAGUACAUUAAACGACGUUGCAAAGAUCCAACAUCCAAAGAUGAACACAAUCUGAAAGUAGAAGCUACAUCUUGGCGGAACCGGAAUGGGUGACUGCAGCAUGUAUGGCAUCUGCGAGAUGACCAACUGUGCUUGAACUCAGACCAGCCAUGCUUAUCCUCCUGCGUUGCGGAUCCACCACCAAAAUCGUACAUGGUAAGCCCUUGUUUCAACCAAUUCUUUCAAGGCACACAAACAAAAUGACCGAAAAACACUCGGUUAUGAAGUUUCAAGGGGGGAAGGAAAGGAUGUUUUAUUUACCCGUCAGAUGUCAUGUAAAUGUGGUACUCUUUCGUCAUAAAGGCAACUUGUUCCGAGUUGAGACCGGUGAAAGUAAACAUACCAAUUUGCUUCAGGAUGUGGCUCCAGUCACCUGGAGUACCUGCCAAAACAACAAAAACGUCGUCAUAAUUAGAAUUGAUUGCUUCUUCUAGAAGCCGUGUGAACUUACGGUUUACUAGGGAGGAAUGUAAACCAACAUGCAGUUAAGUUCAAUAUACAGCCAUAUGUAGCAUAACCAGAGAGCAGGGAAUGGAUAUUCUUGUGAACAAACGCUGUUUAUUUGGUUUCCAGAGGAGAUCACAAAGGUAUCCCGCGGAAAUAGUAACCUUAUUGCCAAGACUAAUGAUGUAACCCAUGAUAGAAGAGGAGGCUUAAAUGGACCAAUUAUACAAGUUUAAAGAAAGAUGAUUUAUAAGUGAAAGGAUUAGAAACCUCUGGUAGACAAGGCGUCGAAAAGUUGCUGACGCAUGCUUAGGAUUCUGUCAGCCAUGGCUUUCAGCUCCAAGGUCCAUUCUUCAUACAGGUUACUGAAAAUGAAAUACCAGAUUGCGAACAGAAACAUUCGUUUGAAAGUUAGCACCCGUUUUAAAUAAGUAAAUAACCAACCAGUAAACAAACAACUUAAAACAUCCAUAACUCGAACUGCAAUACUUCUUGUUUUGAAUUUUCAAAGGAUUCGGCUAUGUAAGAUUUGCCACCUCCAAUCAGACAAAUGGCACUAGAAAAUGCCUCAAACUAGUUGCCCCGAUGAUGAGUUCUAAUAAUAUUACCAUUGCCUCAGGCAAGCUCCAAUACUAAGUUAUCUUGGUUGCUGUUUUUACAAAAUAUCAACAAUUUACUUUCAACAUCACGUUUACCUGUCUUUCAGAAUGGUUGCAACUAUGGCUGCACCAUGGAUAGGUGGGCUGGAAUACAUUGGCCGGAUCACAAGUUUCAAUUGACUCUCAACUCUGCUUGCCACAUCGGCUGUCUUGCAUACCUAUGGAAAAUGAAUGAUCAGUAACAACACGUCAUAGACAGAUCAAAUACAGGCACUGAGGCAAGACCUUGUUGACAUGGAAAGGGUGUAGGCCAAACAUGAAGAGUUAUAUCUUACAAUGCUGAGGGCGCCAACACGUUCCCCGUAGAGUCCCAUGUUUUUGGCAUAACUUUGCGCCGCAAGACAUUCCCCCCCAUCCGCAACAAACAUUCUAACGGAUUGGCCAUCAGCAUCAAGGCUACCACUGGCAAAUCCCUACAUCAGGGGCGAUAUAGUGAGGAAAGAGAAGCUAUUGACAUAAUGGUGAGCAGAAUUCAGAAUUGAUUGCAUCUGCAUCUAGACUACAUAUGUUUUCUUCAUGACUAGACUCGAAACCAUUUGGAACAGUCGUCCAAUCUCAGUAAGUUGGUGUAAAGCAUAAAUGUUCUCCAUACCUGGUAAGCACUGUCAAAAAAGGGCAGCAACUGUUUCGAUCUAAUCAACUGUCUAAUCUGUUCCCACUGCUCGAGGGUUGGAUCAACACCUGUUGGGUUGUGAGCACACGCAUGAAGAAGCACUAUGGCUCCUGAUGGUGCAGAUCCGAGAUCCUCCAACAAUCCUGCGUACCAUAAAAACAAUAUCUCACCAUUUUCAGUUUCAUGUUGCGACAUCAUGACCAUAACAUCGUUGAAAAAACAGGAUAAGAUCACAAUGCAAGACCAAUCACAGUUUCAUUAAAGCUUCUUUUUUCCCAAGUGAUGCCAGCGGCAACGGAAGUGAAAAACGUCAAAUAAUAUCGAAAGUUGUACACUCUAUUGAUGUAAGGGUGAAGAACCUUGAAAGUCCAGGCCCUUCGUUGCAGGGUCAUAGUAACGGUAAGUUUUCACAGACAACCCGGCGAGAGUGAAGAUCUUCGGAUGAUUUCCCCACGUUGGUUUUGGAAUGUAGAUAGUGUGCUGCCAAAUAAAAAUAUUCAGGCCAGGUCAAAGGAGGUGAUUUGGCUCAUUUCCUUAAGUCUCAAGAAAAGAAGUAGUUCAGACGGAAACGGAUGAAGACUUAUCCUUAGUCCUUACCUCAUGAUAAUGCCUAGCGAGAAAUUCACCUCCGACCCUCAAAGAACCAGUACCAGAUAAGCACUGGACCGUUGUCACUCUGCCGUCUUGUAUGGCUGGGCUGUUACGAACAAAGCAAGAAGUCUUAGAAUGAUGUUAAUUCCACUUAAACUUACAGAGCAUAAUCUGUAACAGACCAACGAAAAUUGCAAGAAAAUGACUGACCUGUCAGAACCAAGGAUGAGCUUGGCACUCAACUUGUUGAAGUUUGCUAGACCAGUGAUGGGAAGAUACUCCUUGAUGCCAGACCUGAAACAGAACCAAGGGAGAACCAACCAACUUUAACAAUUCCAGUCCAUAUAACUAAUCGACGAAAUUGAUCCAAAUCCCAAACAAUUAAAAAAAGUAAGUAAACUCACUUGUCAUUCACCAAAAUCUGCUCAGCUUUUCGCACAACAUUGAGAACAAGAGGCUUUCCUUCCUGUUAUUCCCCCAACCAAUCAUCCAAUCGGAUGAAGCACACAAGUGUCAUCAUUCAGUACAAGCAAGUUCAUAAUGAUCACAGAGAAAAAGUUAAAUGCAAUCCAGAUCAUGAAAUCAAAUUAUACCUCUGUCCGGUAAGCACCGACGCCCAAAUUCACCCUGUUUGGGCUGGUGUCCUUGUUGUAAGCUACGGUCACCUGAUAAUUUGUUCAAAAGUCAAAGAAACGAACGAUUCAGUCAAGAAAAGAGGAAUACACAACUUCUGAUCUGAUCGCUACUCUAUAUUAAAACUGAUUAUCUGCUGAUCAUCGCGUAUUCGAGGCCGUAUCGCAGCGCGGGACUUGGGAGUUACAUGACAACGGAAGUUUAAACAGGCAGUUUCGUAAUCAAGAUCAGUAGAAGAGAAAGUGAGAGUCAGAUAUUUACCCCGAGGAUGGGAUCUUCGGGAGCACGAACGACGGCGGCGAAAACGGAAUCGGAAGCCAUGAGGAUGAGAAGGAGCGGGAGAUUAAGAGGUUGAGGAGAAAGAGGAGCAGGAGAAGAUCACUGUAUUGUGCAGGAGGAGAGGUGGUUUUAAUGGCGGAAAGCGAACGCAAAGAGGUCACUGGUUGCCUGUUUGGGUGGUAAUUAUAGUAAUUAGUUUUUAUGUAAUUACGGUGGGCGCUGUAUUGAAGAGUGUGCCGUGGGAAAAAGUUGGGAGAAAAGAAAACGAUGUGGCGCCAUGGGAGCACCGGUUUAAAUACGUGUCCUCUUGCGUGCGCGAAACGAAAACGCAUCUGGUUUCUUUCUUAAUCAACCGGACCAGUCAUCAAACCGAGCAGUUUAAGUAAAGGUUCAACCGAAAUUAGACGGUAAAAUCAAUUGUAAACAACAUUCACCAAAUGACCAAAUAUGGAAGAACUGUUAAAACAAAAUCGGACAAGAUAACAUGUAAAACAAAAGCAAUAAUGUACUGUUCAAAAUUGUUCAUGGUUGAUAAUCCCUAGUUUAUAAUCAACCAAAACACACUCAUUUGGUAUGGGAUAAUUUCGAAUAUAAUAAUAUUCGAUAGAGCUAGUUAAUAAGUGGAUUGGACGGUUUAAUAUUAAAAAGAAAAUUGAUCAAAUUUUUUUUAAGACGAUCUACUUACAUUGAUUCAAUAAAAUAAAAAAAAAUAUAUAAUUUAAGUGAUAAUUUAGAAGGUGCAAUCCACAUACGGAUUACAACAGAAGAAAAACCAAUCUAAAGGUUAAUUAAUUUUGCAGUCUAGCGUUUUUCGAUACCGUAACAAAUGUCGAAUAUGACACUACUGGCAAACUUAAAACAAAAUAGUUCAAAAUAGGGAAAGACUAAAAAGAGAAAACAUAGGAGAAUGACUCAAAAGAAAUGCAAACAUAAAGACGAAAUCUGACGGUGUGCUGGCCUAAACUUGCUCGCCCUUUGACACAACGCCUGGAGGACAUCGCUGUCGGAGAUGGUCAAGCUCCACAGCCCUCACAAUAAUCUAUGGUGUUAGGCGGGUUGCCUUGGGCAAUCCAGGGUUUCCACGCUAGAGCCAUCGUGCGCUUCAUUGCGGGGAAGUUGAUCACCGGAUCUCCCCAAAACCUGCCGACGAUACAGAGAAGGUACUGAUGCGAUGGCGGCGCCGGGAUUGCCUCCUACAAAGACAUCUUCUCGUCGUCGCUAUCCACUAGAGAGAGAUUUCGGACGCAUAGCGCAACGAGCGCAGCUGACGGAGGUAGCUCGGUCUGGUCUGCGGUCGUAGUCAUAGCAACUUUCGGCAGCGUGGACUUGGUGAUUGUGUUUGUGGGAGGGAGAAUCGACCGGUUGUUAGGAUUUGAGUUGUUGAGAUGGUGUUGGGUCGUGAUGCAGGCGCUGUGAUCGAGAGGCGGAUUUGGGAGGUGGAUGAGUAAGCCGCUGUCGGCGGCAGGAAGACCAGUAAAUAAUAGUGUUGUCUUAAUAAUAAAAUAAUCGACGGAAGCGGAGAAAAGCUCCGGCGACGCGAAGGCCAGUCAAACCUAGCGAUUGCUUCCGUCAACGUCGAGAUUAGAGGUGGGUGAUAAUCUCUAUUUUUCUACACAUCUGAAGGUUGACAAUUCGUUCCUACUCUGUUUCCGAUUCUGUGCAGCCACAAAUGGCGGAAGGAGGUGCUGUUGUUUCAAAAUCAGAUAAAUCAAGAGGUGAUGUGCAACAACAAUUGAUUUAUUGGCGUGAUUCGCCUGUAAGCUGUCCUUCCUCCUUCAUUUCAAUCUGGGUUUAUGUGACUAAGCUCCGUCGUUGACCUAGUUUCCUUCAUCUUCCAUUAUUGAAAUCUUAAUGGGGAUGUGUCAUUUGGUUCCCCAUUAUAUGACGAUUUGUUAGGGUUGUUGUUCUAUAAGCUUUUGGGUAUACAUUUGACUGUGUAGUUGGACAAAAUUCCUUCUAUAAGGUCUCUGUUUCGUGGAUGGAUUGUGAAGCAAAGAGUGAAGAGGAUGAAAAGCAUUGUAAGAGACAACUUUGGGAAGCAGAGAGUGAAGCAGACUAGCAGAGAGUGAAGAAGGAAGAGGAAGACGUUAUGAGAGGGACAAUUUUGUAAUCGACUAAUUCCACUCAAUAUUCCGCCCCAAACAAAAGUAUUCGUGUUUUCUAAUUCAAUAUCAAUAACACUUAAUAUCACGAUAUUUCGAAUGUCAUGAUGUUUGAGAUAUUACAUAUCAAACGAUCCCAUAUAUAUAAGACCGAUCAGUAACAUAUCUUAGAAUGCUUUUUUCACACUAAAAAUAUUAUAUAUUAAAAUCAUCUAUUCACAACAUCUUAUUCUAUGAAGGCUUAACUAAAUUCAUUAUGGGGGCCUUCAUCUUAUUUAACGGGUAGGCUACGUAGAUAAAAAAUCAAGUUAGUCGGACUGCGGAUUCGUUAAGUUACGGGUCGUCUAGUCGCAAAUUCACUGGGUUUCAAAUUUGUCAAUUGUAGGUCCAUCGAGUCACAGGUUUAUCAGAUCAUGUGCCGAGUAAAUCUCGAGUUGGGUUAAGAGCUAGCUGAUUUUCAAGUUCAAUUAUCUACACAUACCCUCACAUCAUACAUCUUCAUCCUCAGACACGGGUGGCUAUUUAUCAUUCAUAUGGAGAAGAUAUGAACCACGGGUGGCUAUGACCAAUAUUAGUACACAACCCUAUUUUCAUUCAAAUUGGCCGUUUGCUUCGUCGGACGAGAGACAUAACGUCGCCACUACUACGGCCGCCAGACCAUCUUCUGACCCCAUCCUUCUUCUUCUUCUUCUUCUUCUGACUAUAACUGAUUUGCUGCACCCAACAACAAAGAAAAUUCAGAACAACAAUAAACCACAUGAUUAAAACACAUCUAUGACUGUGUUCUUGAUUUUCACCUGGAAAUGGAACGUGGCAGUCUGCCCUUUCCCGCAUACUGUGAUGCUGUCUCCAACUGGAACUGCCACAAUUUACUCCCAUGUCACAAAUAUAAGACACGGAAAGAAAUAAAUGGUUAAAAAGACCGUACCCAUGGAGUAAUUGGUAGCAUUGGCUGAAGAAGCCACAGGACUAGCAUCUCUGUCAAUAGCUGUAAAUUCCCAUCCAAUGGUCAUUCUUUAUAUGAAAACCAAAAACUACCCAAUCACUUUCUUUUUAAAAAUAUUACUACACCAGACUUACGUGUUGACAUAUACCGGCGGUGAAACUUUGGCAGGUUUGGGCACCAUCUCGUUCUAGUCAGACCAAUCUUCUGUGCAUACAGUUCAUAGGAAAGCAAUCUCUGUCGUGUCAUCCCCAAAACAAAAACACCCAUCAUUAAACUUAUGAUGGAAAAAAAAGACAUUCUUACUACAUCAGAAAGGGAUAAAAAUGCGGCUAGAAAAUCAUACUGACUUGCUUAAGGGAAUCAAUCCUGAGUUCAGCUCCAGAGAAUCCACUGGUCUUGUCAGAAAUGGUGGCGUUCAAACUGACUGAAACGCUGCCCAGAUGAUCCACAACAGCCACCACUGCUCUGCACACGUACUCUUUUGAGCUCUCCACGACCCUGUGUAUAUAUGUUUCAUGUGUUUGUUCAAAUAUAGUUUCAUACACCUUGAUAGAGAUGUUUGAUGCAGACAAAAAGACUUACUGCUUCUUCUGUUUAGCAUUCUGGAAGCCUUUCUCCCAGUAAUCUGCUGCACGGCGUAGCUGAGACUGCAAGUCCUUAAGUUCCUGCACAUUCCCAGCAAAGAUAUGAAAUACAAUAAAACCCCACAAGAGAAAGAAGGAAACAUUCAGGUCACCAGAAACCCCCAAAGGACGAUUCCUCACUUGGAGAGACUUGAUGAACUGAGAAGGUUGAUGAUGAUGCCGGGAAUCCAUUUCACAGGAUAAUGGUUUGGAGUUUCAUGUCUAAGAAUGCCUUUUUUUUCCUGCUUAAAAGGGCUGCAGGAGAAGUCCAAAUUGCCAAAGCUGGGCUGAGUUCCAUUAUCUACUAGUACUUCUAUGUUUGUUUGCUGAGAAAACGAUGGGGCAGAAUCAAAAGUGAUGGGUGUGCAAUUGUUUCACUCAGAGGCCCGUGAUUCGCACCAAAAUAGAAGUUCUGAAUUCAAAGCACACAUACGUAGGAGAAAAUAGCAACAGAAAACAACAAGAGGAAGAGGACAUCAAAGUGCGAUUCUGUGAAGCAACAGCCCAUCAAGUUCAAGAAAACGACAAGUAAAAGUUAUCCUGUGCUGCCCAACCCGUGAACUUCUGAUACAUCAUCCGACUCUACUUUUUGCUUUCUCCAACAUUUCAUAAAACGAACAAGUCAUGUCAUUACAUUUUCUGACAGACACCUAUAGCAAACACAAGCUAUAAUGUUGAUGACGCUAGCAAAAAGAAGUACAUUUGUACGAGUCAAAUUUGCAUACUGGAAAGCAAAUCUGUACGUACAUACGAUUUUUAUUUCAACUAUACCAAGAGUCUCGGGUUUGAUAUCUGGUCCUAUUUCAACACAGGUCAAAUACUCUUGAAUUUGAUGGCAAAACAUAUUACGCAGACGAGAGGCUGCAGUUAUUGCAGCACAUGGCCUGCUGACAAAGAUUGCCUGGAAAAUUAGCGAGGGAUCAUUAGUCAAAUUGAAGUCUUAUUUACAUUUUGAGACAUUGAAAUGCCACCACUACUACUAGCGAAAUCCAUAUCCAUAUGGAUGGCUAACUCGAACCACCGGUGUUAUGCAUCCACAAAUCUCUACAGAUACCAAGAAAUAAGAGACCCACACAGCCUCCAUUUCUCGCACAAUCUCCACAUACACCAUGAAGCGAAAGGCCGAUACCCGAAUUUGAUGCAGUUAUUGCAGGGUAAGGGACAGAACUAUCUCCAGCAAAGCACGCCCGCAAAGUCGGACUUUGCUUAUAAGUUAUAUCACCAACAACUAACUAUCUACCGGCUGAUAUCAACAUCACUUGAACACAACGCAUAAAAAUUUCUUUCCUGAAUACAAAAAAAACUCUUUUUAAGUAACACACUUAGAACUCCAAAGGGAAAAAGAGGUUUAUAAACCCAUCUUCCUUUUUUUUCACGACCACAAGAAAUUACACUAUGCUAUGAGCAUUUAUUUAUUUUUAUUUAAAAGUGUUGCAGCCCGACCAUGACUCGCUCUAGCAGCCUCUACAGGCGAGGCCUUGAAGACGUUGACACAGCGGCAGCGCUCUAUAGAAGCAACAAAAAAACCACGAUAUUUUAGAAAAGAAACAUUUGUGUAACAUAACAUCACCAUAGUACAACAUAUUAUCCAACAUGAAACAGAUUUGGUUUGGUUACUUACCAGUGGCACUCCCUUCGCCGCUCGUUCUUCCAAGUACCUCGAUGGUUUGAAGAACCCACCAUACAACUCUGACCACCUCUUCAAGCUUGUGUAUAUGUGUUUCGCCCCAAUCAAGUCCGCCCAGAACACGAUCCCACCCCUUGCAUAAUGUAACAGUUUUUGCCAAAUAGGGACUUAGGUUCACCAAGAAACGACAGUACAAAUAAAAGAUGGGUUUGUGUAGAAUCUGAUCAAAGAAUCUUACCGAUAAGAUGGGAAGCUCAUUCCAAGUACAGAUGCAAUAUCGAGGUCUGAUGCUCUAACAACCACGCCCUCUUCGAGUACACGACAUGCCUCGUUUACCACUGGGAAGAGGAUCAUCUCCAUAAUCUCCACAUCAGUAACAUUAAUCGGCUGCCACACCAAUAAUUUUGGAAACCCACGACAUCAGAACUUUGGUUUGAAGAUAAAGAGGAGAGAGUUCCGACGGUUUUAUCGCAUUUUUUGUUCAAUGUCUAAAGAGAAUCUGACCUUUCCGUUGGGCAUGAUAUUAGCAAUACGUCUGGACUCCUCGAUGAUCGGUCCUACUGAGGGAUCCGGCUUUGGCUUGCUUCCCUUCUCGUAUAUGUAGUAUCCUCUUCCAUUGUUCUUACCAUUCCGUCCAUUUUUAAUCAACAGAUCAAUCAGUGGCGUCUUGAAUACACGGUCAGGGAAUGAACUGCUGAAUUCUUUGCCCACUGCCACAGCUACUCCAUAUCCAGCUAGAUCCUGGAGCCUAAAUUAGGGGAGGAGAGGUGUGCUAUAUCAGCCACAUUGCCACCGAAACAAAAAUUAAUAAUCCCUACCCUAAGCAGCAUUUCGACAACAUAUGAGCCAGAUAUCAUAGUAUAUCCAUCCAUCCCAGAAACCAUGAAAUACAGGAGUUAAAAGGACAAGUAAUUACUGGAAAGGGCCCAUAGGGAGUCCGAAGCUGCUGAUAACCCUGUCAAUUUUGAAGACGUCCACACCUAGAUGGACUAGCAAGUGCGCACUCUGUGAAUAGGGGAAAAAGGUCCGAUUGACUGCGAAACCAGUGCAAUUACCCACAACAACAGGUACUUUCUUUAUGUUCUUCCCAACUGUCAUUAGAUCAAGAAUUGCUUGCGCAGAGGUUCUGUUCGUCCUCACAAUCUCCAGAAGGGGCAUUAUAUGAGCAGGACUGCCCAAAAAUAAAGAGCAUAUCAGGGGGGAAGUAUAAAGACUGGUGAACAAGAAAGAAUUGAAACUCAGAUGAAGAUACUUUUCAAUGAAUCGAGACUUCUGCAGUUUUAACCCUGAUUAUUAUGUCUACUAUCUCAACUCCGUUCACAAAUGGAUCAAAUAUACAACGCAUCAACAGUCGACAGAAUGGCUCUAACAAUUAUUGCUACUGUCUCAACUCUGCUCACAAAUGGAUCAUAUAUAGAACACAUGAACAAAAUGACAUUAAAAGCUCAAAAGCUCUGUAAAUUCCAUCAUUUCACGCAUCUCAUCAGCUAAAAGCUGGCAUAAAAAUAGUCCUAUAACCUCGUGCAUUCCUUACCAGUGUCUAAAAUAGACACCCGGGAUUUUAUUGGAGGUCCAGGAACCCAGAACUGAAAAGACGAUCCUAAUAUGAACAGAUCCAUGAUCGGUCAUAAGACGGUAAAGAAACAAAUCAACUCCAGAUGGAUCCAGGCGACUUUUGUGCACAGUUUUGUCUGACACGGAAUACAAUUUUAGGAUGCAGUAAUGGCUUCCAGAAAUAAAAUAUCAAUACGAAAGGAUGGCCAAUCAAAACUUUAAUAAACUGAUGUUGAAACUUAAACUUGUUUGCUCGUUUUUUAAGCAGCAGAGUAAGAUCCACACAGAAAUUUUGUGAAGAUAUAUAUAGAUUCACGUGAUUAUGGACUCGGUGAUUCAAAUCAAACCUGAAAAAAUGUGCUCCUAUUAUGCGAUCCUGUGAAUUGGUCUUCUCUCCAAUCACAUUCAAGUCGAUGGUGGAUGUAUUUGAUGCUAAAAUGCAGUGGCCAGGACAAAUACUUUCAAGCUCGCCAAAUAUUUUUUGUUUCAAAGGAAUACUCUCAAUAACUGCCUGAAAAUGUUAGAAACUGUAUCAGACAAGCUUGUUAUCACAAACUACAAGACAUCUGUUAAACUGAUAGAAAACAUACAUGCAGAGGAGGUUAAAAAAUGUGAUCCCUUUUGCAGGACUCCAACUUUCUACAGUAUAUGUAAGAUGGUUCCAUAAGACUAACUGACUAAGCACUCCUGAACACCUUACCUCUAUGACCAUGUCCACAUCCUUGAAGUCAGAAUAGUCCAAAACACCUUUCAACAUUGAGAGAGCUUUGCUAGCCUUAUCCUUCGUCAACUUUCCUCUUGUCUCCAAGUUCCGAACAUUUCCUGCAUUUAAUAGUAUGAGUCUAAAAAAAUACUGACCAACACCACCAAACUGAUUGUAGAUGGAUUUAUCGGAAGCUUGGAAUCUAAUACUACCAGUCAGAUCAGCUUUAAAACCAGAGUAAAUAGGCGACCUACCUUCUAUGGUUUUUAUCCCUUUGAGAAGAUACUCAGAGUUGAUUUCUUUCAGAAGAACAUAGAUGUUGCUUGUAAUUAGAGCAGUAGCUAUACCAGAACCCAUUAACCCUCCACCAAUUACAGCCACUUUCUUUAUCUCCCUUGGCUUAAGGCCAACAUCAGUUACACCAGGCACCUGUCAGAGGUAAAAAUGGAAAGAUGAAACCAAGUGUCUUUAUCCCACUCUGAUUGUCUAUGUAUGUGAACCAUUGCAUCGACUUCAGCAAAUUAACUUCGGUGUCUGCUUGUUACAAAGAAAUCAACAUAGCAGUGAACAUAAUAUAUGUAUGCUAAUACCAAACUAGAUAUACGGUUUCACAUCAUACCUUUGAUGUUGCACGCUGGCCAAAAAAUGAAUGAACCAGACCCCUAGAAGUAUCCGAUAAGACUAACUCCUUGAAUACUCUUGCUUCCUGCCAAAUCAUUUCAACCAUCAGUAAGACUAUGAACGAGGUAUGGCACAGCAAUGAAGCCAAUUCCUUUUCAUCAUAUAACACAAGAUGACUACUUAUAUAGGUUCGCAGGAUGCAGGAACAAGUUUGCUCAGUAUUUAGAAGGUUGUAAAUCUCAAAGCUAUAUAGUACCUUUAGAACCCCACUAUAACCUCCAUGAAUAAUGCCAUCCUCAAUUGAAUCGAGGCAUCCCAGAUGUUGAGGCAUAUUUGGAGCUAUCUUCUUGGCUUGUAGCCGAGCAGCUUGCAGGACCUGGCGGGCCUCAGCUAGGGAACCAAUCUUAUCAGUCUUAUGAAGGGAACGGACCCAUGGUUUGCGCCUGGCAGCAAUGUCCGAAGCCCAUUCACGAGAUACUUUCAGCAACUCUUGAGAAGAGACAAGAGCAUCAACAAGACCAAGUUUAUUUCCUUCUUCAGAGAGGAUCGGCUUGGAUAACUGUAAAGGACAAAUUUUAGUGAAAAUUUGUUACUGAUCAAUGGGAAACUAGCGCUCAUACUGGGCAAUUUAUUUACUUCUGUAUUUGAGCUUUUGACUAUGCAAGUGGACCAAAUAUUAGAUUAAAAUUCCACAUAUUGUCAAAUUCCAGUGUGAACUGCUCGUGAAAAUAGAAAUGACGAGAGCAAUCACUUAGCUGGGCAACGUUUUCUAGACAUAAUUUCUCUUUCAGCAUAGAAUGGAAGAGCUUACCAGCAUCAUAUCAAUGGCUUUCGACAGUCCUACAAGCCUUGGGAGUCGCUGUGUACCUUUGAAAAAUGAACUAUUUCAGUGCAUCGUACAAUCCAUUGAAAUUUAUGAAUCUAGGUAAGAGGUUGUGAACAUUUGUUAAGAGUCUGAUCCUAGAAGAUUUUGAAAAAAAUUCAGACCUCCGAAACCAGGAAUUACACCAAGUGUUAAUUCUGGUAAGCCAAGCUGCGUUCUUGGUGCAACAAUACGUGCAUGACAUCCCUGAAAAUAAUUAAAAAAGGAGGACAGUUCGCAAGUUAGAUAGUAAAAGCUAUCGUGCCAAAAUCGCAAUAGGGCUUGAGGACAGCACAUACCAGUGCUAGUUCUAAGCCUCCACCCAAUGCCAAUCCUUCCACAGCUGCAACAACUGGCUUCUUGCAAUCUGUGCACAGCAAACAAUGAAAUAGAAAGACAAAUUGUCACCACUAUCACUUCCUGUUAUACUACAACAUACUCUUAAGUUACAAAUCCAUUUCUGGAAAUCCCCCCAAGAGAACCUCAUCAAUCAUAGAAAGAACCAGAGAUGCAAAAAACAGAACAUGCACCUUCAAUAGUGUUGACCACAAGAUCAACAGAAACAUCAGGCAUAAUCGAAACAUCCCCUGCAGUACCAAACAGCAGAACAGUGGAUAAAAUAGGUCACUAAUCAAUUCAACUUAUCCAGCAUCACAAACCACACAAAGUUCAUGCCCAUAUCAGAACGUACCGGUUGCAUGGACCUUUUGGAACACAUUGAUGUCAAAACCGCCGGAAAAUCUUCCACCCUUGCCUUCAACCCCAGACGACAAGUAACAUAAUCGUUAAAAAGGCCAAAAGAGUAACGCCGCAAACCACCAUAAUUUGUAUUGUCAUGUGCUAAGCUCUUUCAGAUAAUAAGCUCCAGCAGGAUCAGAUAGAAUUCAUCAGUUAUAGGAGAGACAAGUCCAUAAAACACAAAGGGAAGAGUUCAGAGAUCAUACGAUUUUCAGUGAGAAGGAAAGAUAUCGAAUAGCCAAAUCCGAGCCGGCAUCAUCAUUUCCAUUUCUAAGACUAGUCAACAAAAACUAGCUAAAACAAGUCGCGGAUCCGAAAUUCAGAACACUCACCAGUGAGAACGAUCGCCUUGACGUCGUUUCUGCUGGUGGCCUCGGCGAACUUCUCCUUCAAUCCGUCGAGUACUACGCGCCGCUCCAAGGAAAAAAUGGACAAAGAUGACUAAUCAGUUGCCGAGAAAGAAAACGUGACAGAAGAUCAUCAAACACAAAAAGCCAGUGGCAGGGAAUCGCAAAAAACGACUUGCAGUGGCGGUCGAUUACUUGGAAUAGCUAAAGCGUUAACCGGAGGAUUGAAGAUAGCGAUGACUGCGACGCCGUCAUUCCCGACCUCCAUCGACACGUGAGGCUUAGCCAUGGCUUGCCUUUGGUGAUUGCUGGACUGGAUCGUAGAGAGAAUUGACUUGGAAGAAGGUAAUCGGAGGAGGAUGAAGGAGUAGAGUGGAGGCGGCUAAUUAGUAAACCUUACCAAUCUGUGAUCAAUUGAAGCAGCGUGGUGGAUGUCAUUGGUCACGGACACGUGGCGGGGUGGCUGUGCAAAUGCAAUUUGUGAGAUAUUAAACUUUUUGAGGUAAUCAACAAAUUUUGGACCAAACUUUUGUUUAAUAUGGCCACCUACAAACUUUAGAAAAACCCAAAAUUAUCUUUCAAUUAACUUUUUUCAUAUUAAUCGAAAUACCCAAAUUUCAUUACGUUUUUUGUGUGGAUAAUCAAUAUUUUGGUCUCUUCUUAAUAAAAAAUCGUCUCCUAUCUAUUUCAACCUGAUGAAGAAAUGUUGUGAUGUUAAAUCGAUGGAUAGAAACUCUAAAUGCUUAAGAAAGUUUUCAAUUGAGAGGAAAUUUUGAUGCAGCCACCAAUAGCUUUUCGUCCUAAUCGUAUUCGCGACUCCUUUACACUAACCAUCACCACCAGCGUCUUCUCCUCGACAACACCAUCACCAUCACCAUUGCUCCCGCAAACUCAAGCCACCGCCGCCACCACCAAGCAAAAGCGGCCGGCGACCUCUUCUCGUGGGGUCGCCUCCAUGGCGCUCUCUCUCAUCACCGGACCCGACAUAGAUCCAGCAACGGAGGAAGAGGACAGCGAAUCCAGGCUCCCGCCGACAACCACGAAUCAAAGGGGGCAUGGGUCCUCGUCCCGGAAUUGGCUGUACUCUUCCUCUCCACCCCGAUCGCUACCCUGCCGACAUCACCAUGCAAGGAAGGAAGAAACCUAUCUAGUGCAACUUCCAACGAAGCGCUCAAAGCGCUUGGUCUGCCGCUCUGAGCCACAUCUAGAACGGCUGAGGUCCUAGCCUCCCUCAGCGUGUCAAAGAAGGACGCCCACGUCAUGUCUGCGAGGUCUUUUCAGUAGUUUUUGCUUGUUUUGUCUAUUUACUUCAGACUAUUUUCGUAGUUUCUUUUGGUUAUGUCUGAUUGUUGGUUGAUUUAAUAUUGGAGAGAAAGGAGUGAGGUCACUUAUUUGUAAGGACCUGCAAUUUAUGUAACUCUGCUAGUAGGAUCUGCACCUCCGAUAAGACGACUUGAUCGCAAUGUAAUUUGCUAUUAAUGAAUGAAAGUCUGACGGCUUGUUAUAAAAAAAAUCGUCCCCUGCCUUUGUACAAUUUGGUCCCAACCCAAUGUAGAACAAAAGAUGUAUAGCUGUGUUUAUCCCAACCAACCAGUACCUAGCAUGCUCAAAGAGUACAUGCGGUUCAAUAGGUCCUCUACGAGCUUUCUUAUGCGGCAUGAUGACCUAGGCAACAUCGAUCCCAUGAAAACACACAUUAUGAGGUCAAUAAUAAGCAUUGAGCAAUUACCAAUAAGAUUUAAUGUAACAGAUAACAAAUAGAUACUUAUAUACACUAUCGUCGCGCCUGUUUCUACCAAUAUUUGACGUAGUUAAAAGUUAUAUCAAUCGGUAGAAGGGGUUAGCAAUCCCUAAAAGCUUGGUCAAUGAAAGAUCCAAUGUAGUGAUUGAUCUGAUGGACCAAAUGGCAGUGAAUUCUAAAGGGAGAGAAAUGGAGAGGAAAUAAAUAAAUUCAAAACCACUGCCAAGUAUACGAAAUAGAAAGAAAGGCUCUUGAAUCAUAUUCCAAGCCAAAUAAUAAAUCAUUUGUAUUGCUCUUUCUUCUCCAACAAUGGUGAGUAUAGUAUCAGCCAAGCAACUUCUACAACUUAACUCCUGGUAUCUAUAACUUCAUUCUCUCCUCUGCAAUUGAGUAACUCUACAAUUUACACUUCUCGGUUAACCAUAACAAACUCAUCUUACGUGAUUCACUAUUAUCCUAGACAAUCAAUGAAGGAGACCGUCCGACCUACCAGACGCCUGCUUGCCAUUUUUGCCUUCCGAAUUUUGCAUCUGUGCUACAACCAUGGGAACAUCCAUCGUGUUCGAUGCUCCGACACCAACAGCUGUUGGUGGAAUGACAUGGUUCGUUCGGCCAUUACUCAAAGGCCCGCCAUGUUGAAUCCUUCCCGCAUCAGCUCGAGUACUCAUCGUUUCCCUAUUGCUUAAUAUGUACUUUUGAUCCAUCAACGACUCCAUUCGAGCUAAAGAUGAACAUUUUGUUUCUGUUGGAAUUGGCAAGGAUAUCAGCUAUUAACACUGGCAACAAGUGCAACAACAACAAGAACAACAAAAAAUUUCAGAAGAAAAGAGGAAAGAAAGGAACUUGCCUUUUAUAUUCUCUCCUAUGGUGAUGAGCUUAUUUAAGCAAUCUCUGAACUUGGCUAGUACCACCCUUUCUUGCUCUGCAUACGUCUCUGUCAAGCCGCCGACUUUCUUAGGCAAUUGCAGCACUGCAUUGCCAUUGCCACCCUGGUCUGUCAAACCACUGGAGGAAGAAGCAGCUGCUUCCAUAAACAUUGUAUCUUUUUCAUCACACAUAAGGGCCAAAGUCCCUGGUGACAUUGGUUCCGAUUUAGGCGCAUCUACGCCUUCCGAUGUGGAACUAUCAGGACCUGCAUUAUCCGUAGCAGAACAAUCAUUGUGACCUUCGCUUUUCUCAGCAUCUGAUUCUUUCUUGUUCUGCAACCUUUCUUGAUCACUUGAUGAUGCGAUAGAAGCUUUUCUUUGGUCCCCUAACUGCUUCUCUUCUUCACUUCUUUGUUCUGCAGACGAAUUUUCAAGUAAAAUUUACUGCUUUCUGUAUGUAGUUCCAUGCUACAAACUAUAUAAUGUAAGAAAAAGUAAAAUUCAGAUCAGGAUUUGAGGGGAGGAGGUUGUAGUGCAGGCAAGAUUAUUACAUUAAAUCCGGUAUUUCCAGUAAGAACGAACCCAUCAGUAAACAUAAUGGAAUAGCAUGUUUUCUAUUUCCAAGCACAAAGAAAGAUAAUCUAAUCCAUAGUGAAGGACAUCAAGGAGGCCCUCAUUCCCCGUGGUAAACAACGAUCAAAGGUAGCCAUGCAAAGUAACGACAAAAUCUUGAUACUUGAAAUUCUGAAAGAUCUACCAAGUUCAGCAUCAUACCGUCCAGCGUUUUAGCAGCUUCUCUGGAUAAAACCACCAGCACAGAACAAAGUUCUUUUAUGUCCUGUGGUUGGAUAAUGUCUGCUAACAGAGACCUUCAAUCACAAGCCGGGGAGGGGGCAAUCAGUGAAGUGAACAAGAAUAUCUGCUUGAAUCUCAUAAAGAAAGCUUCAUACCUGUAUGUGAAUUUUGAAGGGGUCAAUGUUGCCAUAGUACCACGAACAACAGGGUUUGAACACUGUGCUGGAGCUCUGAUUUGGUUAGCCUGGUUAAGCGGAAUACACGUCAAGGUCAAAUUACUAAUUCAUAUCGCAAAGAGCAGAUAACAUGCAGUUGUGGCAUUUUUAUGGUAUUCUACAGUGUAUAUGUUGUAUUUAUGAAAAGCUUCAGCCUUUAGGCAUGCUAGGUCAAGAAACUUCCAAUUCAAGUGUAUAGGAGCUGACCUGCUGAAUAUGUCCAGGCCUGUGAAGGGCCCCGUCCCUGCCCUUUUGGUUGAAAAUUGAUUCCGGACCUUUCCUCUUCCGAGAUACAGGAGGGGAUGUAUACCCAGAUGUACCAAUAGCUCCCGUUAUAGCAGCAUUUGCGGCUUGCUGAAUGUAUGUAAUGUUGUUGGCAUGGUCAUUGUGAAAGAGAGCCUGCCGUUCCUCGCUUCCUUCAAAAUUCUUGCAGUCGUUGCACCUACAAUUUUCAGAGCAGAGAAUGUUUGCUUGGAAACAUUCACAGUACUUCUUUAGGCAUCCUGACUUUUUACAAUGGCAUCCCUUGUUAUGCCUUCCCAAGGCUAUUACUUCCCCUUUUUCCUCCUGCACAUAUAUGACCCGAUUAACAUUAGAGCAGAUUGAGAAACUUGGCCCAAAUCAGUGCAAAACUUGAUCAAGUAAGAGAGUUACAGAUUACCAAACAAAUACAGAACUUAUCAAUUAACAGAGCUGUAUUUACCCGCUUAUCUUGUAUCCCAUGUGGGCUGCUUGCAAUUUUUGGCCUGAAAGCAUUUGGAUUACGCUCCAAUGUUACUUUGAUUGCUUCUCGCCUGGAAGAUUCAUUGUCUGCAUUGUUGAAGCAACCUGUGCAAUUGCAUCCAUCACAAUACGUUCCAGACGCAAAGCACUCACAGUACCUAACAAAAUUUUCAAAUUAAGCUAGCUCAAACAACCAUCAUGUUGUACGUAAGGUAACUUAAAUAAUAUAGAUACAAACCAUCAAAAUAUAAUUUAAUAUACUCAAAUAUAGUUGUAAGUCCAGACAAACUUUUUAAGGUGGCUCUGAGGAGACUCCACACAUCUCCAAAAGCACACAAAAAUUCCAAACUGGACUUACAACUAUCAACCAUCAUGUUAAUCCGCAAAUUUACAUGUAUUUGGUAGUCAGCAACUGAAACUCUACCAACUAUGUAUUGAACCUUUGAAUACACUUCAGAUGACUCUCCACCAGGGUAGAUUGACACGACUCCAAAUAUGAAGAUUCUCCGACCCCCUUAUCAAACGCAAACAAAAUGCAAUUCAGACAAGAUGGCACUCACAGCUUCAAACACUGUGAGUUUUUACAGUUGCACUGUUUCGGCUUCUUUGGAGUAGCAUCUUUCAAUUCUGUAGCUGUUCUUGACCUUGAUUUUGGAGAAUCAGGAUUUCUGCAAAGAGAAAUAGUUCAUCAGCACAAGUCAAAUAAUGAUCAGAAAUGUAGGGGUCCCUGCCUAUACUUUUGCAACAACUUUUAAUGAACAUGUUGAGACAAUGUUUCAGAAAGCACAGCAGGUUGAAACUAUGUUAUUCAUCUCCCCUUGCCAACGUUGAAUUCCACAAUUUCAAAAACACACAUCGGUAAGUUGGCUCCAAAUCAUGUAAACUAUAACGCCUCAUGGUACAAAAGGAAAUUGUACUGUAUCAAGGAGGCGCAUUUAUGAUAGCUGAGACUCCAUCUUUUUCAACAGAAAAAUAAAUGCGGGGAAAAAAGUAAAGACGAUUUUGUGACCUAUAUGUACCAGGAAGGAAAAUGUAUGGGAGGCUAACCAACCCUAUGAUAUCACCUGAAUAAAACCAUCAGUUUUUCACAUAAUCAAAUAGGAACAAGAACAAGAUAAAAUGAAGUCCGUAAGCCACACUUCAACUAUCUAUCUGGGUGUCCAAACUGACUUGAAGAGAUAUGGGCACUUCCAAGUAUCGACAAAAUUCAAUACUGCUUGACAUCAAUCAUGGAAUACCAUGAAAGAUUUGAACUUCAGAGAAGAAGAAGCAAAUAAAUUAUACCAGCACGACAAAAUUCAAUUCUUCAAUGAGCUAAAUACAAAUUCCACAAAACAUUCAAUGAACGCAAGAAUCGCUCAUCUCAAAUAUCGAGAAAUUCAAGAAAUAGCAAGAAUCAAAAGAGAGGAACUUACUCAGGCUGCACAACUG